CACAUUUCAGUUAACACUUGGGCAUGAAAAUAAAUAUCCGUGAACAUCAGAAUUUAUAAGUCAAAUGGUCCUGCUCCGAUUGCAAUUUCUGGUUGACAUUUACAGAUAGAGUUUGUUCACUAUAUUGUGAGAUCGAUAUACUGCUCGCCCAGCUCCUUCGUUUGGAACAUUCCAGUCCAUAUAAAAGACUUACAUGGACUGGAACAGGGAAAUGGGUCUUCAUUACGCACUGCCUCACGAUGGACUUUGUCUCAGGUGACGUGAAGAAGUAAAAGAACUAAGUAUGUUGCAGAUACCAGGUAAGAUACCAGAUACCAGGUAAGAUACCAGAUACCAGGUAAGUAGAAAGAUCUUGAUUUUUCCCCGGACUGUUUUGCAAGUGUCUUGGAUAUGUUUUUGUUUGAUUAUCACAGUGCCCCUCAUCCGUAUUAUCACCUUCAAGGCUGUUAGUUCAAAAUACAUAACACAAGGCUCACAUCUUGUAGGAUUCCUGACUGAUUGGAUUUCUCACAUCUUACCUCCUCCCAAUCCCUGAAUGUGUGGUCUGACAUUCACCAAACACAUUCCUUUCAUUAAUGGCCUGGGGAAUCUUGUUGGAGCAGUUCUGUGCCUAGGUUUCAAGAACAUACUGAUGAAGUAAAAAUGUUAACAUUCGUCAAGACUCACCCAUAACAUUAUGCUCUCUAGAGGAUUUCUGAGACCAGUCUCCCUUUCUGGUGGAUAGAUAUGUGAACAUUCGGUAGCAGAGUCCUCUCCUAUUUGAAGGUCAGAGAGGUCUCUUUGUGUAUUUACAUCUGCAAUACCAUAUAUUUAAGACAUUCAGAAGUAAUUGAUAAAUUGUUAAACACUGCAUCUGAGACUAAAGAUGUAGUAUAUGUUGGCUAAUUGAAUUUAAAUAUUUUUUUUAAAAAGCAACUUACCUGAAGACUCCUUAUCUGUAUCAAUUGUGGUUUGUUUUUUUUUUUUUUUCAUAAAUGAAAAAUUACACUCUUUAAAUGGAGGAUGGCUCUUUAGCCAAGGUUUCUAGUUCAUGGUACUCAGAUAAUAACAACAGAUAUUUGAUGGGCUUUUGCUUCUUUUGUUUUUUAAGAGAAAGAUCAUUAAGGAGAAGGUGAGGUAGGGUAAGACUAACAAAUGGAAACGUAUGAAUGGAAUUAAGUAGACACUUAGACAAGACCAGGAUUAACAUGGACUGUCAGUAAUCUGAUUUGAUUAGAGAGAACAGGCCUUUUUUUUUUUUUUUAAGACGAGUCCUUUCCUUUUUAUUUUUUAAUUUUUAUUUAUUUUUUUAAAGAUUUUAUUUAUUUAUUUGAGAGAGAGAGAGAGAGACAGAAAUAGCAACAGAGAGCAUGAGUAGGGAGGAGAGGGAGAAGCAGGCUCCCGGCUGAGAAGGGAGCCCAACGUGGGACUUGGUUCCAGGACCCUGGGGUCAUGACCAGAGCCAAAGGCAGACACUUAACCAACUGAGCCACCCAGGCGCCCCAGGCCUUUCUUUUUUUAAGAAAACUUUUUUAUUUCAAGUUUUUAUUUAAACUCUAAAGAAAACUUGAAAAUUUUGUGGCAUUCUAUUUUUCCAACACUAAAGGAAACUCCUUAGUGGUUAGUGUUGGCUAUUGACAUUGGCCUAAAGUUACCAAACAACAAAACUAUCAAGUAACAGAAUUUGUUUUUUUUUUGAGAGAGGGACAGUAUAUGAAAGUGGGAGGAGGGGCAGAGAGAGGGGGAGAGAGAAUCUCAAGCAGACUCCACACCCAACACAGAGCCUGACUUGGAGCCAGACAUGGGACUCAAUCCCACAGCCCUAAGAUCAUGACCUGAGCUGAAAUCAAGAGUCGGAUACACAACUGACUGAGCCACCCAGGUGCCCCCAAGUAACAGAAUUUUUAAAAUUUCUGUACAUCUUGGUUUGGUAACUGGGUUUUAUUCCACGUUUAGAAAGACGUUUUUAAAUCACAAGCAAUGACAAUUUAAAUAUGGAAGAAGCCAUGGCGUGCACGUGUACUCAGGUUGGUGAAAAGUGGAAAUCCUCACUGAUCCUGUUGUUAUUUACCCCAAACGUACCACAGUUGACAGGAAGAUUCAAAUUCCUCUUGUUCCCUACUUGGAUGCCUUCAUAGUCCCCUCUCCUCUGCUCCGAAGGAACCAUCUGACGUGGCUUCUAGGAGGAGGAUAUUUAUUAGACUGUAGUGCCCAAACUGCCAUCUGUUGGGGUUCUGCUUUUUUUUUUUUUUUCCAGUGGCAAGUGUGGUCAGAUUAGCCCAAAGCUGUCCCUCCUUGGAAGGCAGCCUUCUUAGGAAGUGUUGGAUUAGGCAGAUUAAAUUAGCUGCUUUGAAUCUUCAGGAAAAUCUCUUUUGACUUGUGUUCUUGUACAAUUCUUGGUGUUUUUCUUGACAGGAGAGAGUGGUAAACUAAACGGCUGAGAUAAGGGUGUGGACCUAUAGGAUAGAAGCCAAGGAAGCUGUUCAACCUGUUUUUGUUCUUGGCUUAGGCAGUGGUGUGCUGGGAAAUGUUUAACAACUGGCUCUCUGGGGGAAAAUGUGUAUUUACAUAUAAUCAAAUGUAAGUCUAUUAUAAAUUUUACUGAGAUACAAAUAAAUAUACAAUUAACAAAUUGAAUAGAAUAUAUAAUACUAUUAAAUACAAUAAUGUAUGAAUACAUUAGUAAUACAGUGCAAUAAAAUACACAAUUCACAAAUAAUAAUAGAACACACAGUCCUCUUUAUUGUAAGCUUUUAUAUAGCUCAUUGAUUCUCACAGACUGCAUUCAUUGAUUUUAUGGAACUCUUUUAUCUAUAGCCAAACUAUGGUUGCAGUUGAUGAAUAAGUAUGAUUCCCAGCAUGAAUGUUGGUUGAUAUUUUCCUUUACAUGAAAGACUAAGAUGAAGGUUAGAACAACAAAGACGUAUGUUGGAAUUUCACUUGUUUGUCAAUGAAGAGAGUCACUUCUUUACUGAAAUCGGACCAUUUUCAGAUACUGGAAGAACAUUUCCUCAAAUUUUGUGCUAUUCACAAUAUACCAGCUAUAAAUGUGAUAUUUGUUUUUUAAGAUUUAUUUAUUUGAGAGAGAAAGAGAGAGAGAGCACACUAGUGGGAGGCACAGAGGGAGGGGGAGAGAGAAUCUGAAGCAGAUGCCCCGCUGAGCACGGAGUGGGCCAGGGGCUCAAUUUCAGGACAUGAGCCAAAACCAAGAGUCAGUCACUUAACUGACUGUGCCACCCAGACACCCCCUACGUGUGACAUAUUUUUAAGUUUAAUCUGCAUUAUUUACAUUUUCCCAUCACUUUCUUAAGCCUGGAGAUAAUCAACAAUAAAUCAAGCCCUGAUUUCUAGCUUUUGCCUAUUAUAUAAAUGCUGUGAUCUCAAACUACCAAUGUGAUGUCAUUGAAUGCAGAAUUGGGACGUGCAUGCGGCUGCGUACCAUUAUGUAGCAUUCUCCACCACUAGUACAGAUACAAUAGAUGGGAAAAACCUCAAGAACAUAGAUAAUAGUAAAUGAGUAGGAGGUGAUGAGCUGUGGGUAUUAUUUUUGGUGUUGAUAAUUAUUUAAUAGUAAGCUUAUAUAAUUUAACUUUUAAUAAGGGGUUGCAAAAUUCUUGAACAGUCUGCUGCUUUUAACAGUCAGUUCUCCCAAGCUGGUACAAGGCAGCUUCAGCACACCCCUGGCUUCCCACCCUCCAACUCCGACCCGCGCUUCCUUAAUGCCCGUGGUGGUGGGGACAGGGCAGACAUACGCCAAUAUGCCUUUUAAAAUACAGAAUCCAGGGCCCUACCCCUGGAGAUCAGUCUGAGGCGAGACGUGAAACUACAAAACCCAGACCUCCCCAGGUGAUUAAGAUGCUUAAGGAGAACUAGGAACUAUUCCUUUGACGAGAACGCUUAUACUCCAAGCUAGCUCUCAGGGUUCGAGGCAGGAGUCCCACGAACGAGAUGUCUUUCUUACCUGGCCUUCUUUUCUGCUCAUAUAUGGUGUCCCUUUGUAGCCCCAUGGGGCAGAGGUUAGAGUGGGGGCUUCAGGUGGGGAAGCGUUCACGUGUUUGAGAUCCUGUAACUCCCAGGGUAUGGUGGCUAGCACCACUGCCUAUCCUACGGAAGUCGAAACCAAGCCAGUUUUUCAGUUCCUAACUAGAAAUUCGACUGUAGAGACCACUGAAAAAGCAGAACUGGAUACGAAAGGUUGUGGGCUGGUUAUUUGGAACCAUGAGGUCUUUUGCUGGGGUUGGCUACUGACUCAUGGGGAAGUUUUCUGUUUCAGUAUUCCACACUGCAGAUAUCUUUGUUUAGUAAAGCCUAACAGCCAAGCAUGCUUGACUCUUGUGCUGGUGUGGAGCUUGCUCAGUAAAGGAAAACGAAUGGUGACCUCCAUCAGUUUUCGAAAUUAGUCCAUGAAAACCUGAAAUUCACAUGAAGAAGAGAUGGAUAUUUUUCCAUAGGGCUUUUUGUUUUUUGAAAAGAUCCACAGAAAGUUCCCUAGAAAAUACCCUUCACAUAGUUUUAACUGGUGCUCACAAAAUCCCUAUUCAUGUAUAUUUUGUAGAAAUACACCUAUAUACAUUACACAUAGGAACCUUACCUUUACCGUACCGUAUCCAGAACCUGUCUUUUUAUAGCUGUGAAAUAGGAAAUGUGGCCCAAAUGAGAGGAACUAGGGGUGACAUCCGAGCAGAAAGGGUAUGUUUGAGGACAGUAACAACACGAAAGACUUUCUUCUUUGCUAUGCUGAGAGUCGCUGAGCCAGCAAUUUUGAAAUCACUUUUGUCCCUGUAACACAUCCUGGCCAAUGAACUUACAAAUGAAAAUUGAGGAACCUCAGCUCGAGUGAAAGUGUUAAACUUUUCUUUUAAAUUCCUGAGAAAUCCAUCAUAAAACAUCUAUGUGAGAGGAAUAAAAUCAUGGCUUGUGGUGGAGCAGGGAGCCAGCGGACAUGAAACCAGAUUAAACUAAGUUCCGCGCACUCGUCACAUUUCUGGUAUGUAUAUUAAUUAGCUGUACCCAGAAUUUCUCAAGGAAAAUGUAAAAAGUCAGUGUCCAGAGAAAAAACAUGAAAAGAAUUUUUCAGGGUUCAUUAGGCAUCAAAUCGUUCCCCUGAGCAGUUUCCAAGCCCUCUGAUGAGCCUGAAGAGCAUUAGCUCACGGGCUGUGCUACAGAGAGGAACAAUAGGAGGUGAUUAGGACAGGACUUAAGCCUUUUUUAAUUUUUUUUUUUUAAAUUAAGUAAUGACAUUUCCAUUUGCAAGCUUACUUAAGCUCUGCGACUGUAUCAUUUCCCAGGGAAAAUGUUUAACUUGAGGUGACAGGCAGACUACUUUGGGUCUGGAUAACAGAGAGUGGAAAAGGAAGCAAGCAAACCCAUGUGACUUGUUUUAUUAAUUUGUUCCUGCUUCACCUUUGCGCUGAGACAUUUUACUCUCUCUUCAUACCUUAGCUUCUCCUGCUUGGAAGUGGGUUCAUAUUCCAUGCAGCAGCACUCUUCUGGAAGAGAACCAAUGGAUCUUCUGGUCCCUUUCCCCACGUUUCCCACCUCUUCCCCUGCCUCCCUGUAUUUGAGAUGUCACACGUGGGGCUUCCUGACUUUCUCUGCCUCUGCACACACAUUCUCUUCCCGUCCCCAAGUGCCAUUUACACUGCUCUCCACCAUCUGGAUUCCUUAUUUCGUGCCCUUCUGCAAAGAGGCCAUGUUCCAGUGAGGCUUCCCGGAUGAUCCUGGUACAGGGCCGAGUACAGAACAAGCACGGCUCGCUCGGAGUGGGAAGAAGGUCAUGGCUGUAAAUCUGGAGAGGCAGACUGGCACCAUGAACUGGCACUGAGCCGAGACUAGUCUCCACAUGCUCUGUAUGCCAUCCCAGCGGCCAAAGAGCAGUGUCAGAUCAAGCACAUGGGGACACAGAAUCUGACUAACUUGUGUGAACUUAGCAGAACUCUCAUUCUUUCAUACAUGAUACCAUUCUGUAUUCACAAUUCUGCUGUCUCUCCUCUUUGGUGGUUCCUUCUCUUUUUUAAGAUAAAGUUCAAAUUUCUUAGCGCAAGGGACAAAGCCCUUUGUGAUCUGGCCCUCCAGCCACUCCCUUAAUUCUGUCCCUCUGCUGUGUUCACAUCAAUCUACCCGUUGUUUGGACUCUUCCAAAAGAACUGCUACUUGUCCUUUGCAGUUCAGGUCAAGCAGUAUCUCUUGGCUUUUGGAUGGAUUUUCUGGGAUCUGCACACCUCUAAAUAAAUGCCUUGCAGACCCUGGAGCACAUACUGCUUUUCCAAUCAUGACCUGAUCUUAUUCACCAUAUUGUGAGCUUCCUGACAGCAGACCAUCUCUAUAUCCCCAGCAAAGUGCCUGCCACAUGGUGAUUCUUCAACCAGUGUUGGAAUGAAUAAAUGAUCUGUUUCAUUACUUAGAAAUUAAAACUAAUGAAUAAGAGGAGGGGGGGGAAGAUAAGAGAUUGUCUCUGAGUUCUAUUCCUAAGGAAUUCAGAAUUUUAGCACUGUUCAGUGACCCAUGAAAGAGAGGCAAGGAAAUACAGCCCCCUUGCCUGUACUUGACGAAUGCCAGAAAUCUGACAACUGACUCAGAGAGUCCUAGGAAUAUAAAGGCUUGAGAAAGGACAAGCCUACUACUCAUGAAGAGCUUGAAAUAAAAAUUAUCAUUAAACAAACACUGAGGGAGAGCUGCCUUCAGUAAGAAAUAAUGCCCUAAGAAUGCAUCAGGAUUCAGAACAAAUAAAUCUAGGUAAAGAAGAGAUUGUAUCUAAGGGAACAUGUUUUGUUAGCUGAAAAUUUAGGAAGGAUGAUUCAUAGUUCUGGGUUACAAAGUACAGUAGGUAAAUCAGUGAUAUGGCAGCAAAGAAUCCAUAGCUUCUUAAAAUAGUGUGCUUUUAGCUCGAGGGAAAGAAAGGUAUUUCACUCAGUAGGAUAGCAUGUAUGCCGCAUAGCCAUUUGGUAGAAAAGGUCAAAGAAAGUAUCAAUGUAUAGAACUCUUUCCCAGUUGGCCAUAGACCUCUGAGUGACCUCGAGCAGCCAGAAGCUCUAUCAAACAGCUCCCUUAUGUUGGUUUCCCCCCAAAGGUGGUGUUACCCUGUGGAUGUGCUAGAUUGCACAAGGAUGAUUCCAACCUGACUUACACUAGUUCCCAGCUCAGCCCCACCCUGCUCCAAGAGGAUUAAAGAUGGAAAAGACCCGAAGGGCAGAGAACUAAACAUUCAACACUCAAUGCUCAGCAAUGUUUAAAUAAGCACUGAAAAGAGGCCCAGUUCUAGGCCUUGGGCCCUACUGGCAAUGAGUUUAGAAUCAAGAUAGCCUUAUGAAUUUGCAUUACUACCUUUCUGGAGUGAACUGGCAGGAACUCUCCUGGUAGACAGAGUCUUGUUGAGUUUGGGAUUUUUUAUUUUUUUAAAGAUUUUAUUUAUUUGACAGAGAGAGACACAGCGAGAGAGGGAACACAAGCAGGGGGAGUGGGAGAGGGAGAAGCAGGCUUCCUGCAGAGCAGGGAGCCUGAUAGGGGGCUCGAUCCCAGGACCGUGGGAUCAUGACCCAAGGCAGCCGCUUAACGACUGAGCCACCCAGGCGCCCUGAGUUUGGGAUUCUUAAUGGACCUAUUUUAAAAAUGAAUGAGCACGUUGUCUUUUCUGUGCAAAGAUCUCCCGGGGCUAGGAUUGGCCUCGGUGAAAGGUGCUAAGGCACUUGCUUUUGAGGAGGACAGCUGGGACAUUGGAAUAGGGCAGUCGGAACCUCAGAGUGGCUGUGUUUUCAAGAUCCCUGGAGACACAGCUUAUUUCCCUAAACUAGGUUUGGGAAUGGCUCUCUGCCUGGUCUCUCCUCAUCCAGGAUCAUCUGAAUAUUUUCUACCCCAAACGGCAUCAAUACACUGACAGGUCAGUAGGUGGCAAAGAGAUCCCAAGCUGGUCAUGUUAUCUUCAUGAUUCUAGGCUUUUGCUGGCAGAAUCAUCCUAAUUUAUACCACUGCCACGAAGUGCUUGUGUUUGUCUGUGGUAAUAUAUGCCCUAAAUAAUGCAGGAGAAUUCAGCAGGUGGUAGAGAGGGCGCUGGCCGCUAGCUCUGGUCUUGGCUCCUUGGAACUGCUACUGACUGGCAGAUAAACUGAUUCUCACCUAAACACACACACAUCAAGGAAGCUCAGUCCUCAGAUCUGCCUAUUACCCUGUAUCUGUCAUGGUUUCUAGAACUUAGCUUAGAGCCAGACUGCCUGAGUUUGUACCCCGUUGCACUGCUACUUCAUGACACAGUUUAAGCUACUCAACCUCUUUAUGCCUUUUUCCUCACCCAACAAAUAGGAGUCAUGAUUAUAAUACUUACUCAUAGGAUUCUAAAGAGAAUUGAAUGACUUAAUACAUGGAAAUUGUGUGUUAGGCACGAUUAUUUUUACGCCCUUUGGGAGUGCGUGAAUUCUCCGAUCUUCAACCUCGCAGUUACAAAGCAUAGAACAUACAGCUGAAAGAAAUAUGACUGGUAUUAUCUAGCCAGCUUCUCAUUUGUUAAGAGGAGAAAACUAAAAUCCAGAGGAAAGACAGGUCUUUCCCCAAAGUCAAAUGGCUAUUAGGGAAAGACUGAGAACUAGCUGUCCACAGGUCCUGGGCAAUGAAAGGAACAGAUUUCCAUGGACUAAAUUGGACAUUUCCUAGAUGAACCAGUCUUGCCUGCUUAGACCUUCUGAAUGGCCAUAAUGUGGGGGACUUUAUAGUUUAAGAAUAUAAUGCCAAAAUCCAAGCGUUGUGAGCUCAGAAGAAGACAUAAAGAUUUCAGGGGCAACAUUAGAAAUGGCAAGUGGCCAGAGCUCCCAUACUUCGAGGGCCGUGGGACUUUGGAGGUAACUGAUGGCUAAGUAGCGAUCGAGGGAGGCUGCCUAGGAGGAGCUAGAAGUGGAUUUGCCAGCAAGGGCUAAAAAUAAAGACCUGUGUGUUGCAUGUGCAUAUAUAGUGUGGCAGCACAGUAGUGAAGUUGGCUUCACCAGCCAGCCAGUGACAUGGGCGCCUUUAUUUUAUGGUCCCGUUUCACAUAUUGUCUACACAAAAUCCCCCCAGCCCACCCCAAGACCAUGACUGUCCUUGUCAACCCAAGUAGGCAUUCUGGCCCCUCUUUACUGCCUCUUCCUCCUUGCAGCAUCUGUGGCUCCUUGACGAUGCUCAGAGUUCAUUUCCGUGUAAUCAAACCUGGAUACAAAGAUCGAGAUGGGGCACAGAGGACAACAGCCAUGGCAGGAAGAGAAGUAUUUAAAAUCACCCCUAGAAUAAAAGCAGUCCACAGGCCCGAAUGCUUUCUUUAGGGGAAUUGUGCACAAUUACUUUGACAUGGUGUCACGCAGACUCAUUCCAAUGGAAUCCAGUUAGACGGUCCUAAGACUUCUGCUCCAGCUGUGGACAUGUGUUUUGAUUUACAUUGUGCUUGGAUGGACCAUGUGUAUGCUUCGUUCCUGUGGAAGACGUAAUUUGCAACAGAAGACUUGGAAUAGAAGCAUCUUUCUUGCAAAAUUAUUAAAAAAAAAAAAAGAUUUCCUUAUUUAUUCCAAAAUCUUCAACUACCCUUUAGAUAGGUACCAUUUCAAGUAGUUAACCCGGUGUGAUUCUCAACCCUGGGUCUAUAACAGCCUCACCUGGGUGGAACAUUAAUCCCUUCCACUUCAUCCAGGAGAUGAAGAUUUCAUUCCCAGAGACUCCCAGUAUGUCUUAGGUGGGGGCCUUGGGAUGGAUGGAUGGAUGGAUAGAUAGAUAAAUAGAUAGAUAAAAAAAAAAAAACAAAAAAACACUGAUGAUCUUGAGGCUCAGCCAUGGUUGAGAACCACUAUGUUAAACAAUGUGGUCUUUUAAAGGCAAUUUGCUUUAAUGAUAAAUAAUAGAUACACCUAAGGACAGCAAGAGAAGAUGCUCACAGAAAUAACAAAUAAUGCCCAUGGUCACAAGAGGGCUUGCUUCAUGAUUAUAACCAACUGCUCCCUUAUUUCAUGGACUAGUUUUGACUUUAUAUAAAGGUAAGUGCUAUAAAACUCUGUAAAAUUCCAUUAUGUUUUUGAGAUCAGACACAUGGGGCAAAGUCACCUCCAGCUGGUAAAAAAAAAAAAAAAAGGACCACCAUUUUACUGACUAAAUUGAGGCUCACAUGGAAAGCUGGUGUCCAUUAGUCCACAAAUAAGUGGUUAAUUAUCUGGCUAGUGGUUGGCUGGUUCCUGGUAAAUACAGCCUCAGUUAGAGAUAGACCCAAGAUUAAUGGGGUUGCUCGGCAUGUACAACAGAUAUACAAUCUGGUAACAGCCACUUACCCUCUGCUAGCUACCCUUCCCAUGCUUUACUAACAUCACCUCAAAAUACCUCUACAAGGUAGGUGGUAUUCCCAUCUUAUAAAUGCGAAAAUAGGUACAGACAUCUGCCCACCACUGAGUUGGUUGCCGGGAUUGGAAAUCAGAUCUGCAUGGCCCCAAAGCCACGCUGCAACCACUACACCAUCUGGUCUCAUCCCUGCCCUGCAGAGGGGGCCAUAUUGGAACAGCAAAGACCACGGGGCUGACAGCCAGGCAAGCACUCCAGAGAAAUAUGACAGACUUUCACACAAGAUGUGUUCAUGCGACACGUUAUAGCAAAAGGCCAAAUAUUCUUGUAAACAGGGCAGUGAUGACUGAAGAACUUUAUUAAAAAUAUUACAAUAAACAUGUACAGUGGAGUGUUAACAUCUGUUAAAGCUAGGUGAUUUUAUUGACCUAUUUUUCUGUAUGUUUGAAAUAUUUCAUUGCUCAUCAUUGUUGGGCGAAGGGAAAUGGAAGCAAGCUGAUAAGCUCUUCUGCAUUAUGAAUUAAUCAGAUAGUUUUGCAAAAAUUGGACCAGAUAUUUGCUGAUAUGACCUCAACAAAGAGAGAAGGUAGGGAAAGGAAUGUUUGCUAAUUAACUACCAAGGAAAGAGAAAUGUGAGAAAUAAUUAAACCACCUGGUUCUCUGUGUGCCUCCAAAGCCUUCUCCCCAUGUAUCUCUUCCAGCUAAUGGCUGAGAGCAAUUAGCCAACAAUACAUCUAGUAGAAAAGAGAUCUUGUUAAGUUUUGAGCUCCAUGCCAAUUGUGGGUGUACUGUUUUCACAAAUUACAUUAGUGCUCAUGGACUGGAAUUGCAGUGCUUUACAUAUUCAAAAUUAGACCAGCUGUGCCCAGUGGUCGUUCGGUCUUUGGCGUGAAACUCAAAGGCAGUCCUUGGCUAGGAGAAGAGUCUUCUGGAUUCCAGCAGCUUUUGUUCAACACAGGGCAUAUCUUAUUUACACUUCCUUCCAAGUUCAGUGUGACACAGGAGAUUGUGUUUUGAUUUUGACUCUUGGUCCAUGAAAAUCAUAAAUGAAGUUCAAAUUCCUACCUUUGCACUUCAGAAGACCUGGCACAUCUCAGCCAAUGUGGUUGCAUGUGCAGUAUAUAUGAGGAGUAGCCUUUUAUGUCUUAAUGUGGGCACAUUCUUCUUUCAAUCCCACCUAGGGUUACGUAGAUGCUGAGGCUUCUUCGGCAGCGGAUUUGUAUCUUCGGGUUUCUGAGUGGUUGGUGAUUUCGUGUGACACUCUUCAUGGAGAGUAAAUGCCAAACGUAUUUUGUGCAUCUUAUCAUCAUCAAUUUGUCUUGAGACACAGAAGUUUAGUAUUUAAUUUUUCACUAAAUGUACACUUUCAGUUUAGUUAAAAAUUUAUGACUUUUUGUUGCCAAAAGAAUUUAUUGCAGGGGCGCCUGGGUGGCUCAGUGGGUUAAGCGUCUGCCUUCGGCUCAGGUCACGAUCUCAGGGUCCUGGAUCCUGCCCCGCGUCAGGUUCCCUGCUCAGUGGGGAGCCUGCUUCUCCCUCUCUCUUUGCUCCUCCCCCUGCUCAUGCUCAAGCGUGCUCUCUCUCUCUCACACACACACACACUCUGUCUCUCAAAUAAAUAAAAUCUUUAAAAAAGAAUUAAAGUAUUGCCAAACAAUAAAAUAAAUGGUUGUAGAUUUAUACUCUAUGAUUAAUGACAAAAUCACUGCACGAGGCCAUUAUGACUACUCCAUAGAAAUUCUUCAGUAGAAUUGGGCAGCCGCUAUUUCCCGCACAUAAUUCGUAAAUCCCUAACCUAUGAUUUCCAUUUUCCUCUGACCUCAGUGAAUGGUGGCCUGGCAUUGUCAUCCAUCUCAUAGACUUUGGCAAGUCCCGCACACAGCUAACUGCUACAUCAAGGGGCCAGCAGGGAUGGGAACAGCAUCAAACGGGGGUCCCACCAUCACUGGAGACCAGAAGGAAUUAAAUUGUCCCUCACCCCCUCUAUCUGAGCUCUUGAAUAAGACAUGUUAAUUAUAUUGAGUAGAAGCCUGAUUCCACUUGCAUGCAAUUCUGCAACAGGUAAAACUAACCUAUGGUGGAGAGAAAUCUGAGCAUGUGUUGCCUCUGGAGCGUGAGGGCAGAGAUGGCUGGGAAGGGGUAGGAGGGAAAUUUCUCGGGUGAUGGUCAUGAACUAUAGCUUGGUAGGUUUGGGUUAAACAUCUGUAUGCAUUUGUCAAAUCUCAGUGAAUGUAUACUUAAGAUUUGCACAUUUCAUUGUAUAUAAAUUAUAUGUGAAAACACCAUAAUAUGCAUGAUGAAGUAUUUGGGGUGAUGUGUAGGUAGAUAAGGUGAUAAGGUAGAUUGAUGGAUGAAGAGAAUAGAUAUAUAUGUGAAAAAAUAAGCAUAAGAAAAUGGUAAUGAUAGAAUGUAGGUGGUGGAUAUACAGUGCUCACUAUGAAAUUAUUUCAACUUCUUAUUUGCUUGAAAAUGUUUAUAAUAAAAUGUUGGGGGAUUAAGCAACUUUCAUGUGUAUAGUGGUCCAGAGGGUAGAAAGGACGCCCCUUGUCUGUUCAGCUGCAUCUGUACCCACAGAUAACAAUUCUCAUUAGUAUAUUUUACACACACACACACACACACACACACCAUAUUUAAAGGAGCUACACCAAAAAUUUAGCCACAGUUACCUUUGGAUGGCAAACCACAGAUCUUUUAUGUAUUUUCUUAUUUUUGUUGGCCUAUAUUUGUCAGUUUUCUACAAUGAACAUUUGUUUAUUAUGCCGUAUUAUAAAUUUUCAAAGGUGUUCUUUUUUUUAACUGCUUUUUAAUAAAAACAAACAUUUUUUUUCCCACUUGGGUAGAAAUACUUUAUAUUGACUUUUGGGUUAACCUCUGCCUCUUGAAUUACUUUUCCGUGGAGCAUACUUGGAUAAUUUUUCAAAUUGUGGUAAGAGGCACAUAACAGAUAAUUGAGCAUUGUCACCAUUUUUAAGACUACAGCUCAGCGGCACUAAGCACAUUCACAGUGAUGUGCCACCAUCACCCCCAUCCGUCUCCAGGACUUUUUCCAUUGUGCACAACUGAACUCUGUGUCCAUUAGAUAGCUAUUCAUUUUUCCCUCCCCACCCCCAGCCCUUUUCAACCACCAUCCUACUUUCUGUCUCUAUGAAUUUGACUACCCUAGGUACCUCAUGUGUGUGGAAUCCUACGGUAUUUGUCCUUUAAUGACUUGCUUACUUCACUUACCAUAUAUCCUGAAGGUUCAUCCAUGUUGGAGCAUGUGUCAGGAUUUCCUUCCUUUUUUUUUAAGGUGGAGUGAUAUUCCAUUGUAUAAGUAUUUGCUAUUUUGUUUAUCAGUUCAUCUCUCCAUGGACACAUCACUUUCACCUUUUGACUCUUGUGAAUAAUGUUGCUAUGAACAUGGGUACAUAAAUAGCUCCUUGAUUCUCUGCUUUCAGUUCUUUGGGGUGCAUACCCAAAAGUAAAAAUGUUAGAUCUAUCUUGAAUUCUUUGAGGAGCUGCUAUAGUGUUUUCAAUGGUGGUAGCACCACUUUGCAUUCCUACCAACAGUGCACAGAGUUGCAAUGUCUCCAUAACCUUGCCAAUGCUUGUCAUCUUCUAUUUUGUUUUAUAAUAGCAUCCUAAUGGAUAUGAAGUGUUAUCUCAUUGUGGUUUUGAUAUGCAUUUCCCUAAUGAUCAGUGAUGCUGAGCAUCUUUUCAUGUGCUUAUAGGACAUUUGUGUAUCUUCUUUAGAGAAAUCUCUUCUUUCCAGUCCUCUGCCUAUUUUUAAUUGGGUUGUUUGUCUCUUUGUUGUUGAGUUGUAGGCAUUCUUUGUAUAUUCUGCAUCUUAACCCCUUAUCAGAUAUAUAACUUGCAAAUAUUUUCUCCCAUUCUUUGGGGUGCCUUAUUACUCUAGUUGAUUGUGUCCUUUGAUGUAGUCCCAUUAUUUUUUUCUUGUUGUCUGUGACUUUAGUGUUAUAGCCAAGAAAUCAUUGCCAAAUCCAAUGUCUUAAAGCUUUCCCCCUAUGUUUUGUUCUAAAAGUUUUAAAGUUUUGGUCUUAUAUUUAGGUCUUUGACUCAUUUUGAGUUAUUUUUUUAUAGAUGAUAUAAAAAAGGGUUCACUUUCAUUCUUUUGCAUGUGGAUAUCCAGUUUUCUCAGUACCAUUUAUUGAAAAGAAUGUCCUUUUCCCAUUGAAUGGUCUGAGAACUGCUGCCGAAAAUCAUUUGAUCUUCUAUGUGUUUCUGAACUCCCUAUUCUAUUCCAUUGACUAUUUGUCUGUCUUUAUGCCCACCUCACACUGUUUUGUUUACUACAGCUUUGUAAUCAGUUUUGAAAUUAGGACGUGUGAGACUUCCUGGUUCUUCUUUUUCAAGAUUGUUUGGCUCUUUGGGGUUCCUUUAGAUUUUAUAUAAAUUUUAUGGAUUUUUCUAUUUCUGGAAAAUACAUCAUUGGGAUGUUGAGAGGGAUUCAAUGGAAUGUUGAACCUGUAGAUCACUUUGAAUGGUAUUAACAACAUUAUGUCUUCUAAUUCAUAAACACUGGAUGUCUUUCCACUUAUCGGUGCCUUCUUAAUUUCUUUCAGCGAUAUUUUGGUAUUUUUCAGUGUUUAAGUCUUUUGCCUCUGUGGUUAAGUUUAUUACUAAGUAUUUUAUUCUUUUUGAUGAUAUUGUGAGUGGAAAUAUUUUCUUAAUUUCCUUUGAAAUUGUUCAUUGUCAGUAUAUAGAAAUGCAACUGAUUUUUGUGUGUUGAUUUUGUAUCCUGCAACUUUGCUGAAUUUGUUUACUAGUUCCAACAUUGUGUGUCUGAUAUUUAGGGUAUCUACAUAAUCAUGCCAUCUGCAAACAAAGAUAGUUUUACUUUUUCCUUUCCAGUUCAGAUGCCUUUUAUUUCUUUUUCUUGUCUAAUGGCUCUGGCCAGGACUUCUAGUAUUGUGUUGAUUAGUAGUGGCAAAAGUGGGCAUUCUAGUCUUAUUGCUGACCUCAGAGGAAAACCUUUCAGUCUUUCACCAUUGAGUAUGGUAUUAGCUGUGGGAUUUUCAUAUAUGCCCCUUAUUAUGUUGAGAUCAUUUCCUUAUGUUGAGGUCAUUUCCUUCUAGUCCUACUUUGUCCAGAGCUUUUUCUUUAUUGUGAAAGGGUUUUGAAUUUUGUCAAAGGCUUUUUCUGUCCUAUUUGUGAACAUCAUUUGGGUUUUCCCCCCUUCCUUUGGUUAAUGUAGUGGAUUAUGCUGAUUGUUUUUCAUAUAUUGAACCAUCUUUGCACUUCAGAAAUAAAUCCUACUUGGUCAUAGUGUAAAAUCCUAUAAUAUGCUGUUGGAUUCUGUUUACUAGUAUUAUGCUGAAAAUGUUUGCAUUAAUAUUCAAUAUUGGUCUAUGGUUUUCUUUUCUUGUGGUUUGUCUAGCCUUGUUAUCAGAAUAAUGCUGGCCUCAUAGAAUUAAUUUGAAAAUGUUUCCUCUUUUUCUAUUUUUUUGGAAGAGCUUGAGGAAGAUUAGUGUUAAUGCUUCUUUCAGUGUUUGCUAGAAUCAACCAAUAAAGCCAUCUGGCCCUGAGCUUUUCUUUGUUAAAAGGUUUUUGGUUAUUAAUUCAAUCUCUUUUUUAGUUAGGGUUCUGUUCAGAUUUUCUACUUCUUCAUGAUUCAAUCUUGGUAGGUUUUGUGCUUCAGGAAUUUGCCCAUUAAAUACAAAUUUUAAAGAGGUAAUCAAUGGUAUAAUUGGUGAGAAAUUUUGCUUUCACUCUUAUCCAUUCAGCUCCUCCCUUCUUCCACAGGUAACCAAAGAAUAUUCAUUUGUUGGGUAGCUUUCCAGUGUUUUAUAUACUAUUACUAUAAACUGAAGAUAUACCCGUUUUCCCUCUUUCCCUCCCAAAAGUUUUUUUUUUGUUUUUGUUUUUGUUUGUUCAGGGUUUUUUUUGUUUUGUUUUUUACUUAAGAAUGUAUUAUGAUGCUCUCUCCAUUGUGAGCUUCCAUUGUGUGAAUGAACCAUUACUUUAUUGUUGAAUGAAAUGUCUCUGGAUUUAGAAUUUUUUUUAAAGAUUUAUUUAUUUAUUUGAGAGAGAGAGAGUGCACCAGGUUGUGGGGGGGGGGAGGGAGGAGGGGAGAGAGAAUCUCAAACAGACUCCGCACUGAUCAAGGAGCCUGAUGCAGGGCUCAAUUCUGUGACCCUGAGAUCAUGACCUGAGCUGAAACCAAGAGUUGGAUGCUUAACCAACUGAGCCACCCAGGCACCCCUGUAUUUAGAAUUUUUAAAUGACAGAACUGCUGCCUCAGCAUUUUAAAGAUACUAUAUCAUUGCUUACUGGCAUGCGUUGUUGCUGAUAAAAAAUCAGGGAUCCUGAGCCAGGUGCUUUGCAUACAUUGUUGUUUUCUUCAGUCAUCAUACAAACCCCAUUUUAUAAAUAAGGGGACCAAGGUUUAGAAAGUCUGACAAGUUUGUUCACAGUCACACAGCCAGUAAUCCUGAUUGCUCAUUACUUUUCAAGUAAUCUCUUUUAUUUCUGGUUGUUUUUCAUUGUCUUUGACAUUUUUCAUUUUCCUCACAAAUUGUUUAGGUGUGCAUUUAUUUUUAUUUAUCCUGAUCAAGACUUUUCUGUACAUUUUCUGAGAACUGAAAACUUGUGUCUUUCUUCAAUUUUGGAAAUUUCUGAUCUAUUAUCUUUUUUUAAAUUAUCACUUUAUCCCCAUUUUCUCUCUUCUCAAUUUCUACCUUUUGGAGUUCUUAUUAAACAAAGCCUGAUACAUUGUAAAAAUCCAAAAAACACCAUUUAUAUUAGAUUCCUGGUGAAUGGAAUAACCUUUAGAAUCAUGCAUCAUGGCAGCCUGAUUUUGUAUCUGCUGAUUUUCUCAAUCUAGCUUUCAUAUUUCCUAUCUGUUCCUUUGUAUUUGCCAUCUGCUCUCUGUGAUAUAAUCCGUGUAGUUUCCUCAGCUCUGUCUUCCAAUUCACUAAUUUUCUCAGCAGCUCUAAUAUCCUGUAUAUUCUUUAUUUUAUUGACUGAAUUUUCUUUUGAUUCUUUUGCAAAUCUGUCUUUUCUUUUGCUGUACUGUCCUUUGCUUUCACUAUGGAUCUUAUUUCUUCCUUCCUCCAUUCUUAAAACUCUUUAGUUAUUUGAAACAUACUUAUUUUUUUUGUCCCUUCUAGAUUGUUUUACCAAGUUCAACACCUGAGGUGCUAAUUCUUUUGUUUAUGAAACCUGAUGACUCUCUCUAAUGGUAUUUACUUACUCACAUAGUUUAUCAUUUUUCCUCUUUUGAUGUUGUGAGCUUAUCUUCAGCAGAAGGCCCAUGUCUGUUUUAGUUUCUGCUUCUAGGGCUUUCAGUGGUUCUAUACCUGUUUUAUACUAAUUCCUUGGGUAGGCUUUUCAUCCAACAUAAGAGAUAUAAAUUCAAAUACCACACCUGUGUUUUCUUUUUAUUUUUUUUUUAAUUUUUUAAAUUUUAUUUUAUUGUGUUAUAUUAGUCACCAUACAUUACAUCAUUAGUUUUUCACACCUGUGUUUUCUAUAGGCUGGGAGUGUUUAUAUCUCAAGUGCAACUCUUUUCUUCAGCUAUGACCUUGGCACACGCCAGGCUUCCUUGAUCUGUUUUUGCAUUUUUAUACAAAUAAUUGUAUUUUCAUACAAUAGAUAAACUCUUGAAAAUUUUCAUGAAAAUCAGUCAUCUUUUAAAUGCUAUCGUAGAUGUUUUCAAAACUAAAUAAUCACCUUCUAAGUGAUCCAACAAGUAGGGUGUUAUUUUAAAUUUAAUUUGGUAUUGCCCAUUUACCUAAGAGGGGAAGUGAAUGGCCUAUCUUCCUGGACCCUCUGUACCCACACCACCCACCCUCAAACAGCAAGUUCAGCAAAAGUUUGAAUGUUCCAGUGACUCUCACCUGUCAUUAAAACUCACUGCGAGAAAAACAAGCUAAGGUUUUGGAUUUGCAGAUGAAUUCAGAGGUAGCUUGGGAGUUUGAGAUUUUCUAACUGUGGGUCCCCUAGGCCCUCUUUUUUGGUGGGGUUGACAGCUUCUUGUGAAAAGCCAAGAUGCCUCUGCUUGGGGUGUGGCUCCCAAAUUUGUGUCUGUAAGUGGCAUGACUCAUUUGUUGGGCUCACUUAAUAUAAAGUGGUGGGAAGUUGUGGGAAGUGAGCUACUUACCAGGAGAAAAAUAUAGUACUUUGGGGAUUUCUAAUGGCUUUCCUGAGACAAGGUGUCUGCUGAGCUGAACCGGCAUUAGCACUUUGCAUGGGUGGGUUCUGUGUCUGACAGAAGACCUGGAGCUGGUAUCAUCUGGUGAUUUCCACUAGGGAGGAAGCUCACACUGACUGAACACCAUGUGUGGGAUCCUGAGCCAGAUGCUUUGCAUGCAUUAUUGUUUUUUUUUUAUGUUCAUACAAACCCCAUUUUGUAAAUAAGGGGACAAAAGUUUAGAAUAUUUGACAGACUUAUUCACACUCACAAAGACAGCAAGUAGGUAAUGGAGCUGGGAUUUUAAAAUUCAUUCUCCCUCUGCAUCCACGGGGCCUGGAAGGAUGUACAAUAAACUCAUGAAUUCACUUCAUUGCUGGGAAAGUAUGUGAAGGGCUUAAAUUAACAACUGUACUUCCUUAAGAAAAAUUAAAGAGAAAUUGUGUGCGGUGAAGGGAAUUUUUUUUCUAGCAAACAUUUUUUAUCACUUUGUCUGUACUUCCUGUGUCUGAUGCUCUGUCUUCCUGGUGAGACUGGGCCCAGCAUGAAUAUUCUUGUGCUCCAUAAAUCUUACUUGUCUCCAAGAAAUUCUCUCCGUCCCUGUACCAGGCUGAAUUCUGAUGCCCAGGAUGAGCCCAACAGACGUCAAAUUAGUGUGUCAUUUUAUGAGUGAGAGCCUCUGAGCUAACUCCCAUGAGCCAUGACUCACUGGACUUCUAAUUAUAACUUGUCCUGGCUCCUCAGAUAAUGGAUUUGUCUCAAUGGUUUCCAGGGACAGAUUAGAUCAAUCCUGUAUUUUGUGAGUCUUGGGUAUUCAGCCAACCCAUGUUGUUCUUUGUGUAAAUGGAGGAGAGAUUGACAUGCACUCCAGAGUUUGAGUGGGGCCUCUAAAGUUUUCACAGUAACUUAACAAUACCUCUUAGCAGGUGUGCCCAGGGUUCAGAUGUCAGUGGUAGAGUUUGGUAGUUCUGCUUCAGGUCUCAACACUAGAGUGUACAAGUCCUAAAAGAGCUUUGGCACCACGAGGACAUGAAUACCCCAUGGCCAUGAUGGUGGUGAUAGGUAAACAGACUUUAAACCCCACAGAACCAGCAACUCAGGGAACACCAUAGGCAAGAGCAGUGGGGGAAAGAAAGGGCAGAGCACAGCAGGAGAGAUAAGAUGUCAUCUGACCUGCGGAAACUGACAGAAGUCCCAUCAGCAUAUGUGGAGCAUCUUUGGGUUACCCUUGGGAGUAACUGGGGAGAACACAAGGGCCUCUGAAACCCAGGCUGCAUUGACACCAAGUGCUGAGACUAGAAGGGACCCGAGAGGCUGUCCACUUAAUUGGCCUGCUUUACAGACCAACCACAGCUCAGAGAGGCUCAACAGUUUUCCAACAUUGCACAGCUAAUUAGAACUCACUACUUUCCAGCCCCCCAAUUAACACCUUCAAUGUCCAAUAAAUAUCCAAGUUUUUUCUCCAAAAUUAAAAGAUUUUCUUGUGUUUCCCAUUCAGUUGACUAAAACUGAAGGAGUGUUUUGGGGCCAUUUAAGAAGAUAUGGACAGGAUAAUCCAGUGGUAUGUUUCCAACUGUAGCAGCUUCAGAACAUGAUGCCACGUCUAAAGCUCUGGAUCUCUACCAUUCAUACAGAACUUUUUAUAGCAUGAUCGAAGCUCAGGAGUCAGAGGAUGAUCCUGCUCUGAGCCCUUUCCCUUUCUGUCCUGCCUAUUGCCACUACUUCACCUCCACACCACAGAUGCCUUAUCAACACCUAUCGAAUCACUCCCUGGGAUAGCUUGUGAUGGGGUGAGGGUGAGGAAGAACCUGAAGAAGGGCAGAGGGACCUGGGAACAAGUCUCAGCCUGAGUCAAACUUGAAAGAGACCAAGACCAUGUGCUGAGUAUAGAGGGUCAGAGUCCAAGUAGAACCUCGAGAGCAGGGCAGAGUUUGAGGGAGAAUAGGAACGACCAAGAGAGGAGGGUCUAGGCCUAGAAGAGCAGAGAGUUAUCUUUUCUUUCUGGUGUCAAUACUCAUCAGCUAAUUAGAGCUUCCAGAGCAACAGAUUAGGGACCAAGCUUGGUGGGAUGGCUCUGUGACAGGCCAGUGGUGUCUGCUCUGGACAACAAAGGAAGAGUAAAUGCUGUAUAUUUGCAGUAUAUGGUAGCAUUGCCAAAUGGUUAAGAGUGCAAGCUCUGCAGACCUUCUCAUCGCUACCCCUCAUGACUGGUGACCUUGGACAAGUCACUUACCUCUUCAAUUUCUCAUUUUCCUGAUUUGUAAAAUAGGACAAAAACCCAUAAAUAUGUUGUGAACAUCAAAUGCAAUAACAAAGGAACAUGGUCUAGAACAAUGCCUGAGACACAGUCAGCACUAAAUAAAUGUUAACUAAUUGCAGUGCUAUCCCUGCUCUUGGACUAUUACCAUGAAUUGCUUUGGGGUAUCUGCGAUAUGUAAGGAUGAGGAGUGCAUUUAAAAGGAAAAAUAAAAUAAGGUGAAAACAGAGAGGGAGGCUCUUAACUAUAAGAAACAAACUGAGGGUUGCUGGAGGGGAGGUGGGUGGGAGAAUGGGGUUAUUGGGUGAUGGGCAUUGAGGAGGGCACGUGAUGUAACGAGCACUAGUGUUGUAUGCAACUGAUGAAUCCCUAAAUUCUACCUCUGAAACUAAUGAUACAGUGUAUGUUAAUUAAUUUGAAUUUAAAUUUAAAAAAUUAAUAAAAAAUAAAUAAAUAAAAAUAAAUAAAAGGGUGUUAAUUGGACAUAGCAAACAGGGUGUUAAUUGGACAACUUUUCUCUCUUUUUCUUUUUGACAAUACCUGAGGCAUUUUGAACCUAAAGUAUUUAAAACAAAACUUAAAAGUAUGUUUUGAACUGAAUGCUGGGGGGGGUCUGGGGGGGAUGCUCUCAAAACAAUGUGGAUUUCAUAAAAACAGCCUCCACCUAAUCCACAUUGGUGCUAAGUAUGGGCUUUUGUUUAAACCACUGGUGCUGCUUAAUUAGCUUACUCUAUGGUUAUUUUUAAUCUGCAAACUUUUGAAAAUCUUCCCCCUGCCCUGGAAUUGGGAAAUGUGGGGAUCGGAGUGAAGAAGCUUUAACCAAGCAGGCUUGGACCUCAGAUUGUGUAAGACUUUGCUGUGUACAAAGCAAAUAGGGAUUGAAGCUGGCUUGACCUCUUCUCUGAACUCCACUUGGUUGCCCUAAGACCUGGCAGCUCACGGGUCCACCACUCACUUCAGGUCUGUCAACCAGAGGCUGUUUGUUGGCUCACACCCUGUGUACUUCAGUCCAGGUGGGGAGGAAGUGUCCUCUCAUUCUCUCCUGCCCCUUUACGCUCUCUUGCUAACCAACCUCUCUCUCUCUCAUCCUCUCUUAUCUCAGCCUACAUUCCGGGGUCCACCAUUAUAAUCACUCCCUUGCAAAUACCCCCAACUCCCCUGCCUCACCCUGUGCCCUAUUCGUCUGGCAAAAGCCCAACUCAUCAAUGAAUCCUACCUUCUACCUCCCACCUUCUCUAUGCCUCUAUCUGAACAACUAGACAUCACAGGAGAAAAUCAAGGAAUGAAGUUCACUGGUGUCACUUAAAAUUCAUGAUCAAAAGUCUCAAAACAAUCCUCCCACUUUUCUCUAGAAGUCUAGGCUUUGUAGUUCCCAGGUGACUAUUUUGUACUCUCUUCCUUUACCUUUUCUGGGGGUCCUGCCUGUCCCAUACUUCACUAAGAAAAUAUAAGUGACCAGACAUGUCCUACUUUCAUUCCCCUAACAAAAAAACUACAAACCUGUCUACAUGGCAUCCAUCUCCUCUUAACCUCCUGUUUCAAAACACAAAUUGUCUCCCAUUUCACCAAAGACCACUCUCUCCUGCCUCCUCUCUUCUCUCAAGGACUUUGGUGCUUUACCUACGGCCUUCCUUCCUGCAUCCCCAAUGUUUCCCCUUCUGCCAUGUUAUUCCCAUCAUUACAUAAAUAUAAUGUAAUAGUAUUUAUCUUAAAAAAACAACAGUCCCCCAUUAACCUAACAGCCCCCCCAUCAAUUCUGCUCUUCUUAGCCAAAAUUCCCCCAAAUUCCCACAUACUCUAUUGCAUAUCUUCCCCUGCUUAAGCUUCAGUUCAGUCCAGACUGCUUUCCAUUCCCACUUCUUAACUGAAGUCAUUUUUGUGAAAGUCAUUGUCAGUCUGUAAGCCUCCUGGGAGCUUCCCCAGGUGUAACCUGAAGCUGGCCUCCCUAUGCAGAGGGCAGGAAGAGACCAAAGAAAGAGGCCACCACUCCAGGGUGGAAAGUGGCAGUUUUAAUAAGCAAAGGGGACAUACUUGGGCAGCAGCAAGAUGAAUGGACCCUGCUGCUGAAUCUGCUAAGUUUAUAAAGGGGCCUUAGUUGGCUUCAGUCAUGAAUAUUGCACACAGACACCGUUCUCAACACCACUUCACCAUCUUACGGCCGUGUCCUUGUAGCAGCCUCAGGGAGAAGGAAAGGCAAGUGGCACUCACAUCCCCCCAGUAUCCUAACCCCCCCAGUAUCCUAACCCAUAGGGUAUACAAGGUCAGCCCUGGACCUUUCCUAUGGACAUACUCAUUUCAAGGCGUUAAAGGCUGUCUAUGUUGGUGGAACCAUCUCUAUGUUGAUAGCUCCCAAAUUCAUAUGUCCCACUUGGGUGGAUAGUUCUCAUGAGGUCUAGACUAUAAUAAUAUUAACAAUAGUAGCAACAGCAAAAGUAACUAAAACCCAACUGUUGACCACAUGCCAGGCCUGUUUGAAACGCUUUACAUGAUGGAAUCAUUGAUCUUCAUCACAUACCUUUGGAGUAGGUACAUUGUAAUCCUCAUUUUAUCAAAAGGGGGACAGAGACAGAAUGCUUGUGUGUUUUGCAGUCCACAAUUGGUAAAUAGUAGACCUGGAAUUUUAAACUGUGCAAUUGAUUUUAUCUACUAGACAGAAGUUUUAAUGCCUAUCCAUCCAACGUGUUUUCAUGAUAUGUUGCUCAAGACAGAAAUCUGAAAGCCAUCUUUGGAUCAUUUCUUUCUCUCGAGCUCCACAUUUAAUCUCUUUGGAAUUCUUUGCUAUUUCAGCUUAAAAAUACAUCUUGAAUCCAAUGAUUUCUUUUCAUUUCUCCAGUCAUGACCUAGUCCAGGGUUUGUCUACGUUGGUACUUCUGACAUUGGGCCUGGAUAAUUGUUUGGGGGGCUGUCAUGUGCAUUUUUAGGAUGUUUAGCAGCAUCCUUGGCCUCUACCCACUAGAGGCCAGUAGCACACUCUGCCCUCCCCCCUGCCCAUCAUGACCAUCAAAAAUGUCUCCAAACACGACUGCCAAGUGUCCCCUAGAGGACUGAAUCGACUAACUGAGUUCAGGUCCUCACCCUUUCCUCACUGAACUAUAAUGAUCUCCUACCUGGACUUCUUACUUCAAAUUUUAUUUGUAUUAUUAUUUUGUUGUCCCCAAAACAAACAGAAAAUGGAAAUAAGAUAAUCAUUAUUCUUGUCUAAAAUUCGUAUUGCUUUCUUAUUGAAUUGGGAAAAAAAAGUUUGGAGGUUUAUAUUUACUUGUAUGCUUUCAAUCUCCCCUAUAAGACUAUAGGUCCCAUAAAGGCACAGGCCAUGUCAGUCUUGUUUACUGGGGUGUUCCUGAUGUCCAGCACAAGACCUAGACACAGCCAGUCAUUCAGAGAGGCGGAUAAAUGCACAUCACUUAGAAUGGUUGAAUACGUUCAAAGACUUCCCCCAAAACCCCUGAUGAUGGAGCACCGUACAAUCUUGGGAAUACUGAUGUGAGGGAGGGAGGGGCACUUAGCCACAACCAGGAGAUUAAUCAGAGCUGACAUGGUUUGUCUUGGAAAAAAGGAAAUCCUAGCUGGGCUACCACUGUGCAUUCUCAAGCUGUGAGCUAGUUGGUCUCAGGUCAGCCUUCUUAUUUCUGGCCCCAGUUACCCACUACUGGCCAAGUCCUUGGGUAGCAUGGUUUUCCCCCUUUCAGUUUGUGGUUAGUAACUUGGGGGAAGUACCCCAUUAUCGGUUCUGCUGGGCCCCACGGCCAGGAUGUUAGGAAACAGGAAUUAAGUACAACUCCCCUGGAGCCAUUUCAACAGCUGUGGUUUGUGCGGAAGUCCGCCUCUCUCAGAGCCCGCUUCAGGGUAGAGGAGAUGCACAGCAAGGAUGGUGUUUGGAGACUUCCUUCUUGGAGUACACUUGAGCAUGCCCUGGGACGCGUGUGCACGCACGUGUGCAUGUGUGUGCACUCAGGCGCUUGAAAGUGCACUAGCCAUAUCUAAAGCUAGGAGACUCUUUAAGCAAUAUUUAGCCCCAUCUUCUCAUUUAAUAGGAGGAAAUUUAGGCCUUGAGAAAUUUGACUUACCUAAUAUCACACAGCUAGUUAGUGAAAGCUGGAUUCAAAUUGGAGUCAGCUCUCUUUCUACCAUAUCCAACGGUCUGGAAGUUUCAUUUCAAAAUACAACAUUUGUGUGUGUGUGUGUGUGUUUUCUGAUUAAAGAGUAAUAUGUGGAUGAAGAUUCAGAACUGCCAUCCUGAAUGCUCUGGGUUUGGUUAACCCUCGGAAGAACCACUUGCAGCUUCCCCUCCAAGGGGUAGCACUUGUCAGCACCCAUUGCCAGAGGAAGCCUAUCUCUGGGUGAAGUCCCAGCCUUGUCCUCUGACCUCACCUUAACCCUUGCGUCCGUACCCUGUUGAUUUCAGCCAUGACUAAUUAACCACCAGCAGGCCUGCUGGGGUUCCUCCUGCAGCCCAUUAUCCAUGGUCCUGCUUUGGCCACCUGGUCGAUCCCUGCCAUGACUCUAGUUCCCUUCACUACCCUAGUUCUUGUUUGUUCUGAACACAUACGAGCAGGCUCCAUACCUGUGGACCCAACCAACCCCUCAGCCCUUUUUAUGAAACCUUGCUUAUCAGCCCAGAGCGCCCCCCACUUGACCCGUCAAGAGAAUGCAAGAGUCCAGACUGACCCCAUCUUCCUUGGAAAUACUGAGUGGUGUCCCCCUUCCCUGGAAAUACUGAGAGGAGUGGCCACCACACAGGGUCCCAGCUGGUUUGUUUUUAUUUUUCAUUGACCUGUUUGACAACAUAUUAAAUUUUGUGAGCCACAUCAAAUUUUUGUUGGAAGUGUCCAAGGGAAUAUUAGAUAUGAGCACAAUGUAUUUACUGUGCCAGAAUUUGGCAGAAGAGACCAAAUAAUGUGAGAUAUGAACUACACUCUAUAGCUCAAAGUGGGUCCUUUGAGAUAAGGGUAUUUCUUUCCUUUUUUUUUUAAUUUAAAUGCAAUUAACCAACAUUUUGUACAUCUCCAGUUUUUGAUGCAAUGUUCAAUGAUUCAUCAGCUGCGUACAACACCCAGUGCCCAUCACAUCAUGUGCCCUCCUUCAUGCCCAUCACCCGGUUACCCCAUCCCCCACCCACCUUCUUUUCUGCAGCCCUCAGUUUGUUUCCCAGAGUCAAGAGUCUCCCAUGGUUUGUCUUCCUCUCUUAUUUCUUCGAGAUAAGGGUUUUUUCUUAUAUGUAAAUCAGACCCUUAAAAGAUCUGAUUGGAGAGAGAGCUAUACAAGAAGUGACUAUAGAUUUGUGUUUUUUUGGAGGAGAUUGAAAUAUAUGGUGGAUGCUCACUAUUUUCUUUCUUCCUUCCUUUUUUUUUUUUUUUUUUUUGGCUCUCCAUCUUCCUACUCCCCUUUUGGGGGGAUUUCCCCACCCCGAUGUGUUUUGUGUUGGUAGAAUCCAGUGCCCUACCUCCUCCCGUAGAAGCUGCAAGAGGGAAUUUCUGAGUUCUGGCAGCGUGAGCUCGUAACCUCCCCUUACCCAAUCAGAUGCUCCUCUGCGGGACAUGGAGUCUCUUGAUCAUGGCGUAGGCUGCAGGGACUCACAGAAAUAUGUUUAUCGGCAGAAAUGACAGCGACAGCAGAAGGAGGCGAUACCUACACCACUGAUAGCAUCCACAGCAUGUCUUGAACAAGUUCUUCCUAAGACCUGAUCUUGAUGGUGCUUAGUAUUCCCUGUAUCCCCAGAUCUGCUCUAGUUUCUGCAUUUCCCCGAGCCUCACUCUCUUGCCUCCCUGGUUUUUCUGUGAACGUCCCCAAACCCUUCCAACAAAUGUCUUUUCUGCUUCAGUUUAUCCAGAGUUGAUUUCUGUGGCUUAUGCUCAAGAAUUCUGGAUCAUACAAUAUAGGGGAGGUGAAUUAACCCUCAAUUCUCAAUGGCACAGUUAAGUCACUGGCUUUAGAAAAAAAAGAAAUAGAAACAAGCAAAAAGCCAGAGAAGUGCCUGUAAAAUCUCUGCUUUCCAAGGGGAUGGGAGGAGUUGUGGGCACCGGUGGCUGUUUUCCUCAGAUCUGCAUGACCACAAAGAUAAAAUAAAUUGAAUGAAUGAAGGCAUGAAUGAGUGAAAUCAUUCUUUAGAACAGUUUAACUCAUCUUUGAGUUUCCUGCCCAGGUGGAGAAGUGGAGUUGGAAAUGACUGUACCUACUACUAUGAAUUUUAUGAUACCAUUUACCUAGGGGUCUUCCUUGGCAGCACGAAUACUCUAUCUGAUCACUGUCUUGAGAUGCAGAACCGGAUUCUAGAAGUCCUGAUUUCCUUCAGCUCUGCUUCCUUCACAUGUUCCGGAAGAAUGGCAUCAGAAAAGGGAUCUGAGGCAGCAACAGACCCUGUUUGGGAGGCAGAUGAAGGCAGAAGAGAGAUCGAUUUGCCUCUGGUUACUUGAAUCACUAUGACUGCCUAGCACUGGGCUUAUGUCAUGUUCACAGAUCAACCCUGAAACAGGCUUCCAUACUGCUGGGAAGCUCCUGAGUUUGAUGCUAAUUCCCAAAUAUGGCUGAACAUGUUGCAGAAGGAACAUUAGAUCAUCUGCAGCACACCAUCUGGAGGCCCUGUGGAAAGCAAAUUCUUCUUUGAGACCUGGUGACCAGAUCACACUUUCUCUAAAAUCUCAGCCAAGAUAAGCAGGACUUCCAGAGGACAAGAAGGCAUUUCCUCUUCUGGAAAAUGAAGGUGUGGUGGACUAAGGAAUUUCUCCAUAAAUUCCUCCAGGAAGGCCGGAGCAGAGCUGUUCAUCAGCUUUGAGGAGUUUUAAAGGCACAGGUUGCUUGCUCCACAUGCUGCCCCCUGCUUCCCAAAUAAAAAGCUAUGCACACCUUGGUACAGGGGAAACCUGAGGGCAUGUGGGAUCAGUGUUGGAAAUCAGUAGGGAACAGGCUUGAUCUUGACAGUAAGGGUGUGGGGGAGUAUCCUUAACUAAUUCUGAGUCACCAGGAGACCGAUUUUCCAGCAGGAGGAGGAUCGAAAGAGGUCGGAACACCCAGUUCAAGCUGCUUCAACUUGGAAAUAUUUAAGAGGGCAAUCUGAUAGAUUUUGCUGCAUAGCAUCUUUCUCUUUGUGAACAUGCACCCCACAGAUCAGUGUCUUCAAGGAGCUGCCUUGCAUGGAUCUGAUCAAGGGAUAAAUAUUCUGGUAUUUAACAUAAAAAUCUGAGAACUUUCAUCUUCAGCUACUCACAUUUAAAUCUCUUGCUAUUUCUCACUGGGGCUGGGAGAACAAGAGUCAAAUUCACAUAGUUACCCACUUCAGACAAAAUCAUGGCUCAUUUUUAGGUUAUACAGUUCCUGCCCAGGUGGUGACACUAAGAUGGAACUUACUGGGGGUACCAUCUUGUCUUCAUGGUGCCAUCUUCUCGGAGGAUCUCCGAGUCUUAUUUUAACAGCAGAAGUGUUUUCCUCUGUGGACCAAAAGUCUGAGAGGCAGAGAAAGAUGGAUCCUGAAGGGUCCUAGUUCUUUAAGCUCUGCUUUCUUCAGACUUUUGAGAGGGUAGUCAUCAGAGGAGGGAUGGGGAGUGAGAGGGUAUUGGGAAGAUGAGCAGGGAAUCCCCCAUUAGGAGACUGUUUACGUACGUGGUGGCCCAGACUCACAGAGAUCUGGGUAGAGACAAGGGUGAAAUAAAACUGUGUUUUGGAAACUGUGGUAAGCAGGAGGCAAUGAGUCAGUGCUUACCAUCCCCAGAAAGUGAUAUUGCUCACUGGGGAGGCUUCGGGGCAAAGCCUGUACAUGCAUCUGGAGGCGGAGCUGGAAAAGCAGAUUGGCACCCGGGAAUUUGGAGGGAAAGGUGUGGGGAGGAGAGACUGUAAGUGAACACAGCGGGGGUGGGGGGGAACCACACUGGGGAAAUAGUACUGAAAAUGGGUUCCCGAGGUGGAAAUAGCUGUCAAAACAGAAGCAGAACUGCUGCGUUGUAUUGUUAGUGAAGGGAGAUUUGUAGGUUGUGUGGGAAACCCUCAGGCAUUUAUUUCAUUUUCUUUAUGCUUCUAAUUUUAAUUUCUUUUCAACCCAAAGUGUGUGGAAUAAUUGUGGUUUAGAGCAAUGUAGUCUUGGGAACCUUAGGGCUAUACUUAAUGUCCAAGUUUAGGGCUUAGCCAAACAUAGCAUACCUGGAAACAGUCCUUUAUUUAUCAGUAGUUGAAAUAGAAGCUGAGUCACAGAAGUGACGGAAACACAUCCGGGGCCUGUCUCCUGCCUCCUCAGUCCCCGGGGUGUUGAUGAGCCUGGCCUUUGCCUGCUCAGGCCUUGCAGUCUCUUCUCCAUUGACAUCCAACCCCCUUGGCCAGAGUCAAUACCCUUCACACCUGUCCUUCUCUAGUUGUUGUCCCAGCUAUGGGUGACUGCAUGUCCACGAUUGACUUUCAGAGUCGAGCUACAGGGCUUUCCAGCAACUAAUAUGUCAGCAGCUCCCCUCACUGUUCUAAACAUGGGUGAUUGACUAGAGCUCAGUUUUGAAAUAGCCACUUUGCUUAAAUUGGAUUUCAUCUGUGCUCAAAGGGAAGAAAGGGGAAGAAUCCAUCUGGUUUGGAAAGACAUGUUCCUCUUCCCCACCUUGUAGUCAUCAACUACAGUCACUAUGUACUUUUUCUACCCCCAGGCCCUAGUCCUGGAGCGGAGGAAGGAAUAGGCUAGGAUGGAGGGUACCACUCACUAUCUCAGUGGCUCAGAGGCCAUUAAAAAUAGUGGGGUGGAUUUACAUCUGUAAGCAGUGGUGGGUCAUCCCCUCAUUUCCCACACAUUCUUGCUAUCAUAGACAAGACUGGGGGAGAAUGCUCCAGUGUAAGGUGUGCCUGCAUCAGGGGAAAUCAAGGAUGAUCCCUGGGGGGCAAGAAGGAAAAUAUUAGAGCCUCUAUUAUAUUUAUUUUAAAUUUUCUACUUGUGUGUGUCUGGUACAAAGUGCAUUAUAUAUUAGUAUAUUGGUAAAUUUAUUCUAUCUAUCUAUCUAUCUAUCUAUCUAUCUACCUAUCUAUCAUCUAUCUAUGUCAUCUGUCAUCCAGCUAUCCAUCCUAUCAGGAGGUAUCUUGAGCAGCAUUUUGGAAGUACACAUUCCUGGGAGGUUCUAUUUCAGUAGGUUUCAGGGGAGGCCGAGGAAACUGUAGUUAUCUGACUCAUUUAUUUUCAUUAAGGAACCCUUCCUUAAAUGUCACCCUACACGAGAUCCUAAUAGGUACAACAGAUAAAGAUGGGACCCCUCUUCUGAAGGAGGCUGGAGGCAACGACAGGGGAUGGCCCAACCUUCCUUUUAUUCUAUCUGCCCUCUGCUCUCCUUGGUCGGCAUAAACUCUCACUUGGAAAGCACCAUGAUAGCUUCUGAAAGAUGAAUCUUUGGAGGUCAAGUGUUCCAUGUUUGAAACUGGACUAACAGAACAUGGCCCCCCAUUCUCAGGUUUGAUGUGGUAGCUGGGUCCCUCUCAGUCUUUUUUUCAUGCCAUGUGCUAAACACCCCCUCCGAGCCCAGGCUAAGUGAAGGGACGGACACUUAGAAUAGACUCCUCCCUGAGGUGCCUUCCCCAGGCUGCUUUCCACUAUCCCAUGACUGCUUUGUCUUUCUUAGCACAGGGACUUGCCCUGAGUAAGCAGUCCGUACUCACGGACACACGAGUGUUCACGUUCACUGCAGAGGAUGACCAGCUUGCUGUAGCAAGCAUUUCUCUGAUCUUUCAGAUUUGCAGUGCGCUCCCUCUGCAGAAGGAGCUUCUGCUUAAACAAAACACAGUCCCAUAUCCUAGGGGCACCUCACCUUUUAGCUGAUUCAGUUAUGCUUACAUCUGGUUAUAAUUUCCUUUCUAAUUUUGCUGGCGUAAAGAUGACCUAUUUCCCAAGGGCAAUUCACACUGUCACUUAUAGAGUUAUGUUGUCUUCAUGAAUAACCGUGAGAGGCAAAAUUGCCUCACAGAAUUAGGGGGAAAGGUGGGGUGUGGCAGACACAGAUACACUACUCAGAUCCCCCUUCAAGAAAGGGCUCACCGCCCAGCUGCUGGGACAGUAGCUCGCUCACAGUCUCCUCUGUGAGCAACCUUUGAGCCAAAGCCACACUCUGUCCUGAGUGGCCCCAGUCAAUAAAUGAAUGGGGCCAUAGAACAGAGACUUGGCCAUUUCUGCCCAAUGACAACUUGGAUCCAACAGUUGAUCUUGCUCUGGAGCAACCUUUUGGGCCAACAGAGACAGUAUCCCAAUCAGGUGGCUUCCUCCAUGGCCAUUCUUGUUUCCCACAUUUUCUCACGGGUGCUACUCCUCGCCAAACCUUAUGCACUCCUAAUUCUGUCUUAGCAUCUUCUUCCCAGAGAACUGUUACCAGCUGUAACAGUCAGGAUAUGCUGGAUUAUGUUGCUAUAACAAAUAUCACAAAGAUAUUAGUAGAUUAAUAUGAAGGAAGUUUAUUACUUUCACCCAAAAUCCAUUGUAGGUCUGGAUGGUUCUCUGGGACAUCACAUGGUGCCUCAGGUAUCCAGUCUGCUGGGGGGUCGGGGAAGGAGGAGGCAAUGAGAAGCAAAUACAGAUUGCAACAUUCUCUUAGAUUCCUUAAGUCUACAGCUCCCAGCCCCUGGGUGCGAAUAGCCCCUGGGGAGGUUCAGAGUUAUUGCCAGGGGUGGGCAAAUAUACACACAUGCUUGUGGCAUGAAUACAUCAUAUGUUUAAAUAUUUUGAAUAAUAUAUGUGUUAUUUUUCAAAUAUAUGAAUAACAAUUCACCAAAACUUACUUUUUUAAAUAGUGCAUUUUUAGAUCACCAGACACCAAAAGUUAAACACACACACACACACACACACACACACAUCGAGGGAAAGUUUUUGCACUGCAGAGGAGUCCUCAUGCAAAGGGCUGAGAAAUACUGUUUUAGAUGAUGUGGCCCAUCUUAACUGGGAAUUUCUCAUAUAACUUCUAAGUCAACUUUGAGAAAAUCUGCCUGAUGCUCCAGUCGAGCAGCUCUAGUUUGACAAAUAUUGAUAGCUGAGGGGUGCGAGAAUGGCCGAUUUUAAAAGGGAAUGGGAUAUCAUGUGGCCUUUUGUACAAUCUCAAGCCUCCUAAAAAAUGUGCUUAUGUAUUGUCAACCUGGGAUCUUGAUCCUCCUGUUUAUAGAGACAACCAGGCAGAACGUAUCUGGCUUGGGUUAACCAUUUCUGUUUGUUUUGGGACAAGUCACCAUGCCUUAACAUACAGUAGUUAUCUUUGGAGAACAGAUAUCAUGCAACUAUGGAUUGCCAUUUGGGUGAAAUCUUACAUCUGCAAAAGACCAGCCAUCCUGUCCUACACAGAAUACAGAGACUCAAUCUGUGAAAGGAGAAUAGCUUGUCCAAGGUCACACAGCCCAGGGGCUGGCCAGGCAGGACAGAAUUGUGUGGAAGACACUGGAGAGGCCCUGGUUCUGGGGAGCAAUGGUAGCUGAGAGAAGUGAGUGUCUGAAGAAGACUUUCCAAGAGAAGAAGGGGCACUGAGAGACGGUAGAGCUGCUGAUGACCAGCUUCCUUGCACUCACCAGUUUGCCCCGGGUUGCCUAGGUGAGCAAAACACCUUUCCAAUGUCUGUGGGUGUCAUCUGAAUGAUACCAAGUCUUCUCAAAUCUUUGAUCUUAUUUCACUCAUAAGAUCUUGCCCGACCUGCCCUCCCUCCCUAUCCUCUGAACACCACUUUGAAAAGAACAUGUUGCUAGCCUAGGCUAUUGGGUUUCCUGUCACAUUUGGGUGUCUGCCGGACCGUGCAGAUCGACAUGGCAGAGAUACACACUGCAGAGGGAAGUCAAGUUUGGUUUCAGCAUGAACUGAUUAGAUCCUUGACAUUUUCCAGGCUACUACUUCUGUUGAGGUAAACAGCCAAGACUGGGAACUUUGUUAGCAUUUUUGAGCUGAGUGUUUACCCAAGUCCUAUAAGCCAUCUGGGUCUAGGGGAUGGACUUGGACAUCUUCUCCUUUGAGUUCUUGCACCUUUUCACUCUGAGCUGAAAAUAUUUAUGAAGAGCCACUUCUGCCCGUAGUGGGUAUGGGAUGUUUACUCUCAGACUAACAAGUGUUACAAAUGGGGGUCAGAUUAGAACAGAACAAAGCCUAAGGGUCUGGCCAAUUGACUCUAAUGGAUUUUUUUUUUUCUUUAAAAAUGGACUAACAGGCAUGUGACUUUCUAGUCUGGGACGUGACUUUAGAGUCAGACUGCUUGAGUCCCUAGGCUGACUCAACCACUUACUGAUUAUGUGGUUGUAGGCAGAUUAUUUAAUCUUCCUGAGCCCCAGUUCCUUUAUCUUAAAAAUAAGGACAAUUGCAAAUUGCACCUACUUCAAUAAAUUUGAAGCCCAUAGGGAGCACUUGGUAAAUACGAACUGCUCUUGUUUCUGUUGUGCUGGAAAGAGGUCUGGUAACUCGACAACUAUGCCCACCGUUGUUACUGUCAGUAAUAAUCUUACAAGAUUGAAUGUGACGUACUAGCACGUACUUCAGUUUCUGCAUCCAUAAAAUGGGACCAAGGUUGCUGGCUUUUUCUACCUUAGGGAACUUUGAGAUGCAUCCAAUGAAGUAAGAGAUGCCUUGAAACGUGAAUAUAUCCUAUGGGGAUGGGAGAUCUUGUCCAGGCUGUGCAAAGAAUAGCAGCAGUGGCCAUGGCGGUGGGAGGGGGUCAUUGCCCAUCCCACGCCACUUACGUUGAUGUUGCCUCUGCAUGUACUGUGAUGGAGGAGCCAGAUUCUGUUGGGAUGGGUGCGGCUAGUUCUUUCCACGCUGCCUGUGACAGAACCCCAUGUUGUUGAGAGCACUACUUUUUGAUGUCCCACACCUCUCUCAUGGAGUCCGAGGUGCUUCUGCUAGAGGUGGUCAAUCUCCGAGGUCAAUACCAGCACCUGCUUUCCAGCUCAAGGACCACAGGAUGAGCAAAGCCAGGUCCUACAGCAGCAAUCCAAGAGACCCUCCCACCCUCUCCUAUCUGAAGGGUCCUUUUGAGAUGAGUUGCUGGGCUGCCCCUGGUUAGGAAAUAGUAAGAAGCUUGCAUUCAUAGAAGAAGGAAGUGGCGGGGGGAGUCACCGAUCCUUUCAUAAAACCCAGCAUGUCACAGCUCCUGUUUAAGGGGGAAGACUCAUUUUUCCCUAAGUUGAGAGUAUUUGGGCUGGGAUAUUGGGGUGGAAGAAGUGGAGGGAGAAAUUGACCUUCUGUCCAGAGCCAGACAGAGGUUUACAUAUACAGUAAAAUAUUUGAGGUUCUCAGUUGAGGGAGAGUUCUUUUGUUCCAAGCAUAGAAAAACCGACUUUGGCUAAUUUAAUCAAAAAAUAAAUUAAAAAAUACACACACACAUAUACAUAUCAUACCACAGACACAUACAUAUUAGAAGGCCACAGAGUAGCUCAUAGAGUCAAAUAAAAAGCUAAGGACUCUGGCUUCGUACAGGACAGGAAGCUGGGAAAAUUAGGUUGGAGAAAUGAAUGGACUCCCCAUUAGCCAGAGGUCCCUUAUGUCACUUUACUCAGGAUUCGUCUUCCCCGGGGAGAGUUAAUUGACCUUGCUUGGUGCCAUGCCAACUACUUGACCCGCAGGAGGUGAGACACCUUGCUUCGGGCUUUGUUAGGAGGGUGAACAGAAUGCUGAACAGGCCACAGAACAGAUGUCUACUACAGUCUCUGCUUUUCGUCAUUAGCCUCGUCACUAUAAUUAGUUCCCCGAGGCUGCCUGGAUUUGCAUUCGUCCCAGUGGAGUCAAAUGUUUCUGUUUCUUGCAUCCUUGAUAAAAUUCGCCCAUGCAAAAAGUGGAUGACAAUCUUCUCACCCAAGACAAGAUCUCUGCCUGGUCCCCCUGGCCCACCUAGAGAGCCGGUGCUCGGGCCUUCCUGAAGAGUGCUACCCGCCUCGCCUUGCUUUCUCUUUAAUAGCUCCAUGCUCUGGAUCGUAGAAGUUUGGGCCUUGCAGCCCCCGAUUACCCAGCCUAACCGUUGUUUAAAACAGCAAACUAAAAAUAAGUGUCCCCAGGACCGUUCAUGUUGGCAAUGACGGUUGGCCUGCCACCUCACCACAGAGACACUUGUUAUUUGGGGGUUUGGAAAAGGGAAACACUUAAGUGCUGGUUUAUCAGCCAAAAGAAGCUACAGCCAAAAAAACACAACACCCGUCCCACCCACAGACUUCUGGUCAGCGUAUCAGCUUACGGGGGAAAGUUUAGCUGUUAUAAGUUAAAGACGUAGAGAUGUUGCUUUAUUUACACAUUGGCGGGGGGUGGGGGUGGGAAGGGGAUGAUGUGAGACAGCAGCUGCCUUUUGGAAGUUUCCAGGGUAACUUUAAAAGAGAACAAAAAUGUUUUUGUUUUUUUUUAAGUGUUAGAACAUUUGCAAAAUACAGAGGAACAAAAAAGAAAAAGUCUGCAAUGAUGUGCCAUAUUAAUAUUUCAGUGCGUCUCCAAUCCUGGCUUUUAGAUCAGGAGGAAGAGCUUAGGGGUCGAUGGCAUGGUGCUGACCCUAACUCCUUUCCUGUCCUAUCUGCUUGCAUGUGGGGACGAUGCCCCAAAUGAAGUGAAAGUGUCACAGGGACAGUUACCACAAUGACAGGUCUUCACGCACACCAUUCACAGGCCUCCUUUAUGCACUUAAUUGUAAUGUGAGGCAUUCCCCGUGUUUUGGAAUUUCUUUGCCAGGGUCACUGUAAUGGCUUUAUAACAUUUCACCAAAUGGCUGUUCCCUAGCCUGUGGAAGCAGGCCCCGACAUUGGACAUGAAGUAUGACAGGGAAUGCUGUGACGGACAUCUUUGUGCAUAAACCAGAGCACCGUCUGUCGAAGAAGAGUCCAGCCUCGCCACCCGUCGGGCGUGAGGUCUCUGCACUGUCCCCAGCUCUCUCUGGUCUUGAUGGAAAUCUGGCCCCAAGACUAUUCCUCCAAAGCCUCAAGCAGUGGUCAUCAUUUCUGAUGUUAUUUAAGAUGGAUUGGAGAGGCCAGGAAAUGUGUAAGUUUCCUUUCUUGUCAUCCUCUCUUAAAAGAAAAUGUUUGGUGGGCUGUUCUAUCUAGAUGACAGCUGGCUUUUAUCAUUAAUCUCCAACUGAUCAAAACUAGGGACAGAACCUCUUUAGAAAAAUAGGGCAGGAAAAAGGUUGGUUAGUGAAUCAAACUCUAGCAGAAUCUAAGGAAUACCCCCUCGAUUUUCCCAAGUGCAGUGAGAAUGUGGAGAAACUAGAUCACUCAUACACUGCUGGUGGAGUGUAAAAUGGUUCGGCCACUCUGGAAAGCAGUUUGGCAAGUUCUUAAGAAAUAAAUAUGCAACUGCCGUACCACCCAGCAAUUGCACUCUUGCCCUUUAUCCCCAUGAAAUGACAAAUUAACUUUCACACAAAAACCUGUACUCCAACGUUUAUGGCAGUUGUAUUUGGUAAUAUCCCCCAGUUGGAAACAACCCAGAUGUACUUCAAUGGGUGAAUAGUUAAACUGUGGCAUAACCACAUAAUGGAAUACUACUUAGCACUAAAAAAGGAAUGAACUGCAGGCAUGCCUCAAAGUGAGUCAAAUGAAUAUUUUGGCUUCCUAGUGCAUAUAAAAGUUAUGUUUAUAGUACACUAUAGUCUAUUAAAAGUGCAGUAGCAUUAUGUCUGAAAAAACAAUCUAUAUACCUUAAUUACAAGAUAAUGUAUUGCUAAAAAAGUGCUAAUUAUCAUCUGAGCUUUCAGCAAGUCAUAAUCUUUUUGCUGGUGGAAGAUGCCUUGCUGGUGACUGAUCAAGAUGGUGGGUGCUAAAGGUUGGGGGGGCUGUGGCAAUUUCUUUAAGAAAAUAACAAAGAAUUUUACUGCAUCCAUUGACUCUUCCUUUCACAAACGAUUUCUCUAUAGCAUGUGAUGCUGUCUGAUAACAUAUUUUACCCACGGCUGAACUUCUUUCAAACUCUGCCAUUGCCUUAUCAACUGAGUUUAUGUAACAUUCUACAUUCUGUGUUGUCAUUUCAACUAUCUCCACAGCAUCUUCCCUGGGAGUAGGUUCCAUCUUGAGACCACUUUCUUGUUCAUCCAUAAGCAGUAACUGCUCAUCCAUUCAAGUUUUAUCUUGAGAUUGCAGCAAUUCAAUAUAACAAUAAUCAAAAAGAUUGAAAUAUUGUGAGGAUUACCACAAUGUGACACAGAGACAUGAGGUGAGGAAAUGCUGUUGGAACAAUGGCGCCGAUAGACUUGCUCAAGGCAGGGUUGUCACAAGCCUUCAAUCUGUAAUAAUAAUAACAACAACAACAACAACAACAAUAAUAAUAAAUGAGAUAUGCCUAUAUUGACAUAGCAACAACCUAGAUGAAUCUCUAAAGAAGCAUGUUGAGUGAAAAAAUCCAAUCCCAGAAGGUUAUAUACUGUGUGAUUCUAUUUAUGUAAUAUUCUUGAAAUAACAAAAUAGUGGAAAUGGGGAAUAGGUUAGGAGCUGCCAGGGGUUAAAGAAGUGGUUAGGGCAGGAGAAAAGUAGCUGUGGCUAUAAAAAUAUAAUACAAAGAACCCUUACGGUGAUGGAAAUUUUCUGUAUCUUGACUGUAUCAGUGUCACUGUCCUGGUUGUGAUACUCUGCCAUAGUUCUUGCGAGGUGUACCACUGGAAGAAACCAAGUGUGAGUGUAAGGGAACACUCUGAAUCCUUUCUUAAAACUGGAUGUGAAUCUACGACUAUCUCCAGAUAAAAGUUUAAUUUAAAACAAAAGGAGACAGGAGAAAGACUGUUAACUAUCCCCGGACUCACCUUGAACUCUAGCAAGACCUGAAUAAUGCUCUUCAAUUUUCCUAUAUUCCCUGCUCAAAGGAAUUUCUAGUCGUAGAAAGACCUGACCAGAUGAGAAGUCAGGCAAACGGAUGUGUUCCUUGUCACACAGUGAGGUCUUCGGUUCACCUACUGUUUAUUAGGUCACUCAUUCAUUCAGUGAACAUUUAUGGUGCCCCUCCUAUGUACCCAGGACUGUAGUAGGUGCUGUGGAUAUAAGAAGACAGAUAAUAGACUCUGUCUGACCUGAAUGGAGCUAUGUUAUAACGACAUCAUUUCAUGGAGUGGUAAGUGCUAAGGAUACUGUAGAACAGAGUAAUGCAGACAGUGUUAGGGGAGGGAGACUCUUUUGAUAGGGAAGUCAGGAAAAGCCUUUCCUAGUAAGUGUUUUGAUCUGCGAGCUAGAUGAUGGAACAGAGCCCUAGAGCUGGGGAGAAGAGCAUUGCUGUAUUACCUCUAGAAAGGUCACUCUUGCAGUGUAAAGAAUACAUUGAAAGGAAGCAAGAAUAGAAGUGAGGCAACCACUUCACAGGCCAUUUUGGUGAUGGUUUCCUCAACUAAGGUUUAGCAGUGGAGACGAUGGCGCCACUUUCUGAGAUGAGAAAGCCUGUGAGGAAGAAGGGAAUAGGUUUAGUUGGAAGAAAGAAAUCAAGAGUUCGAUUUGGUUAUGCUCAUUUUGAUAUGUCUUAUGUGGUACAUUGGGCCACAAACAUUGUGCAGCCUCCUUCUUUUCUUCAAUCCCAGCCGGUGCUCCAUCAGCUCUGUGUCACUCCCCUACAUCCAGACUUGAAUGGCAGAUCAUCCUGCAAGGUCUCUUCCUGCAUGCCAGCAAGGGUUUAAUUUAUGCCUACAGGAAGUACGGAGUUAGCAACCUGAAGGUGAACCAUGAACAAGGGGAAAUGGGAACUAAAAAGGAACCAGUCAAAGUCUUCAUUUUUCCCUCUCCUAUAGACUACUCAAGGAUACAAUAUCUUCAGACACCUCUUCCAGAGAAGUCCCAUAUGCUGAGUGAACACAAAUUCUGAGUGACCUUCUGGGUCCCUUGGCAGCGUUCUGAGGUGGAAGCCAGGAUGGUAAUGCAGCUCAUCACAUCAUAUCACACCUUCGCCUCUUUUCCUUUUUUCUUCUACACCCAAUACCUAAGGACUUGCACCUCUCAAUUAAACUGUCAGAAUCUUAAUCCUUCCCUUGGGCUCUGUUUUAUGAAGGACUCAAUUAAGACAACAUCCAAGUGAAGAUGUCAAUUAAGAAGUUAAAAGUCUAGAACUCAGGAAGGAAGUUAGGAUUAGAACUACUAAUUUGAGAAACAUCAGAAGGUGCACAGCAUUUGGGACCAUAGGAUCAUGCAGUCACAUUGAGAGAGUGUGUGGAUAGAAAUAUGGGUCAAAGAGCAAACCUGAGGCACUCUGAAGCCUAAUGUUCAGAGGAAGGGGUGGGUCCAGCUGAGGAGAAUUGAGAAAGAAUAGUCAGUGAGGUAGAAGAAAAUCUGAAGAGGUGUAGCGAAUCAAGGCAAAAUAAGGGGAGACCGUUGCAAGAAAAACGGAAACAAUCGGGUGGGUCAAAACUAGCUUAGAGGUCUAGUAAUGUGUGUGAGAGAGGAGACCAUUGGGUUAGGUGCCAUAGAAGUGGCAGAUGGCUUGAUGAGAGCAGUUUCCGUGAGGAAGUAGGAGUGGAGUGGGUCGAGGAGACAGAGGGAGAUGAGGAAGUGGAAAUAGCUAAUAUCAUAGACAAGUCUUUGAAGAAAUUUAAAUGAAAAUGGGGAAGAAGUAAAGUGGGGAACAGCCCGGCAGUCUGCUUGCUGGGCACUAGAGCUGGCAUACGUGUGUGUGGGAGAAGCAUCGUGACUGGGAUGCCAGAGACCUAAGUUCUAGUCCUUUUACCGCCAUUAACCAGCUAAGGAGGCCCUAGGUAAAUCAGUUCCCUGCCUGGGCAUUAAUUUCCUCGUUCGUCAAAGUCAAAUAUCUCUUGGAUUCCUUCUAGCUCAGGAAAACUAUGUCCUGUGGAGAUGUUGAAGCAGACAGAGAAGGAACAGUGAGUGGGGGAAGUAGGAUCCUUGAGAUGAUGAUGAGAGGAAGGAUUAACUAAGAUGAUGCAUGCAAAGCACUUAGCACAGUGCCUGACAUAAUAGGAAGAACAUUUAUUAUUAGAAGUAAUAGAGUAGUAUUAAUAGCAGAAACUCGUAGAACAUUGUGGUGCACUGCUCUACUACACAAGAAAGUGCCAUUUGGAUAAAAAAGAAAGGAGGAGACAUAAGGAUGGACCAGGCCACGCCUGGCAUGGCAGUGAAGAUCACACUAGAAGCAACUUGUGGAAUGAAGUGAGUGACAGAUUUUAGGAUGGCAGCUCAAAGCUGGUAACUUGGGCGAUGGGGGGCUCCACCAAAAUGGAAAGACAUUUUACUUCAAAAAAUGCUUUCUAUCCCAUGUAAAAGUAAGGUAGGGAUACAAAGAGCCAUGAAUGGGCAAGACCACCUCAAAGAACAAAGUUGGAGGACUUAGCUAGAUAACAAGAUUUUUUAUAAAGUGAUGGCGCUGAAGACAAUAUGGCAUUGGCACAACAAUAGACAAGUGGGCAGAACAGAGUCUAAAAACAUAGCCAUGUAUGUGCAGGCACUUGAUUUAUGAAAAAGGUAGGACCUCAGAACAGUGGAGAGAGGACAGUCUUUUUUUUUUUUUUUUAAAGAUUUUAUUUAUUCUUUUGAGAUACAGAGAGAGAGAGAGAGAGAGAGCAAGCAUGAGCUGGGGGAGAGGUAGAGGGAGAGGGAGAAGCAGGCUCCCUGCUGAGUCAGGAGCCCGAUGUGGGGCUCGAUCCCAGGACCCUGGGAUCAUGACCUGAGCCGAAGGCAGACGUUUAACCCUCUGAGCCACCCAGGUGCCCCUGGAGAGAGGACAGUCUUAUCAAUAAAUGGUCCUGCAUCAAAUGGAUAUCCAAAUGGAGAAAUAAGAAUAAAACUCAACUCCUGCCUCAUGCUAGGGAAAAAUCAAUCCUCUGUGGUCUGUAGACUGUAGAUGAAAUUUUCUAGUGGAUAACAUAGGAGAAUAGCUCUUAAAUACCCAUAAAUAGGACACAAAAAGUACUAAUCAUAAAGAAGAAUAUUUAUGUAUUGAAUUUUAUUAAAGUUAAAAAUCUUAGUUCAUCCAAAGAUGCUAUUAAGAAGGUAAGAAAAAUUAAAAAGUCAAGUUACAGAGUGAGAAAGAUAUUCUGAUAACUGAUAAAAGGCUCAAAUUUAGAGUAUAUAAAGAACUCUUACAGAAGAAAAGAAAGAUACCUCAUUUGAAAAUAAACAAACAAAAGACCUGAGUAGGUUCCUCACAAAAAUAGAAUAGCCAACGAACAUGUGAAAUGGUGCUCAACUAGUCAUCAGGGAAAUACAAAUGAAAAUUAUAUUGAGUUAUCAUUAAACACCCACAAGAGUGAAAAUAAUUAAAAUGAUGAACAAUGCCAAGUGUUGGUGAGGAUGUGGGGCAACUAGAAAACAAACUUUGCCAGUGGGAAUUUAAAAUGAUAUAGCCGUUUAAGGAAAAGUUUGACAUAUCUGCUACAUGUAAACAUGACAUGUCCAAAACCUGUCAAAUCUAUUCCCAGAUAUUUAUCUGGCAGCAAUGAGAGUUUAUCGAAGACCUGCAUGAAAACGUUCUUUGUAACAUUAUUCAUAAUACCCUCAAGAUAGAAACAACCCAGAUAUCCAUCAAGAGUGCAACAAAUAAGGACACUGUAGUGUAUUCAUAGAAUGGAAUACAUACACAAUGAAAAUCAGUUAACCACUGCUACACUCGACAUUGACGAAUCUCACACAUAUAGUGUGGAAUGAAAGAAGCUAUUUACAGAAGACUACAUGCUGUCCAAUUCCAUUUAUAUAAACUUCAAAACCUAGCAGAAUUCAUCUAUGGUGUUACCAGUUAGAAUAGUGAUCCUUUUAAAGAAGGCAGUAGUGGGAAGGGAUGUGAGGUGAACUCUGGGUGCUGGUAAUGUUUUAUUUCUUGACCUGGAAGGUGGGUACAUGGGUGUGUUCUCUUUGCAAUAACUCAAUAACUCACUUAAAGAUUGUGUACCUUUCUGUAUGGAUGCUCUACUUAAGACAGAUGGUUUAUUUAAAGAAAUGAAAUUCGGGCGCCUGGGUGGCUCAGUUGGUUGAGCGACUGCCUUCGGCUCAGGUCGUGAUCCUGGAGUCCCGGGAUCGAGUCCUGCAUCGGGCUCCCUGCUCGGCAGGGAGUCUGCUUCUCCCUCUGACCCUCCCCCCUCUCAUGCUCUAUCUCAUUCUCUCUCUCAAAUAAAUAAAUAAAAUCUUCAAAAAAAAAAAAAAGAAACAUUUAAAGAAAUGAAAUUUGAGGGGGAAUACUCAUUUUAAUAAAUGACAAAAUGUUCCUCCCCUCCUUGUUUCCGACAUCACUCCCCCAUUCCCCACUGCGUGGACUUCUUGUUCUCAUCAAAUGAGUCAGUCACAAUGGAAAAAAUUGAAUGGAUUUUCACAGAUUCUUUUUUAAGUGUAAUGUCUUUGUGAGGUCAUUAAAAAACACUACCUUCAAAUAAAAUCACCAAACCUUGCCCUCCCUCACUUUGUGGGUAAGAAUGCUAAAAUGCUGGGUCUAGGAACAAUACUCAUCCUGUGAUCAGAGGGUGGAUGUGGAUCAGAAAUUCAUGCAUUCAUUCACUUGACAAUAUUUAUGAAGCAACUACCGCAACUCAGAUAUUAUUCUAGGCACUGCAGAUACAGCAGUGAACAAAAGAGAAAAGGUCCUGUCCUGGUAGCGAUAGAAAAUACACACAAAAACGAGCAAAUGCCAUGCAGAAACAUAAGGCAGGGGGGUGUGGGAUAGUGGGUGCCAGGGGUAAGGUUUUGCUGUGUGUGGAGGGUGGUCAGGGAAGUUCUCACCCAAAGGUGAGACACCCGAAGGAGAGGACCAGUGGCUAUGUGGCUGUGUGGGAGAAAGGUGCCCUGUGCAGAGGGAGCCUGAGAUAGGAGGGACAGCUGGGAGGCCAGUAAGGCAGGAGGGGAGUGGGCAAAGACCAGAGGAGAGAGGGGAGUUGAAGAUCACGAGGCCUCCGAGGCCAAUCUAAGGGCUUUGGGCUUCUCCUCUGAGUGAGGUGGGAGCUCCUAAAGGGUUUUGAGUGGAAAGAAUGACCUGAUCUGACUUAAAUUUUAAGAGUCACUCAGGAUCUGGGAGGGAAUAGACAGAUGAGGGUGCAGGGCAAAACAAGUCAUCACAGUGGGACACAGGUGAGAGGCGAUGGUGCCUUGGACCAGCAGUGAAGACAGCGAGAACUGGAUAUAUUUUAUGGUAGAGAUCAAAAGGGUUUACCGUUUGGGUUGUGAGACAGAGAGGAGUUGGGGUUUUUGACCUGAGCAGCUGGAAGAACAGAGUUCUUGUCACCUGACAUGUGGGUGGGACAGGUGUGGGUAGAAGGUUCCAAAAUGCUGUUUGCAUGUGCUUAGUUUGAGGUGUCUAUCCGACAUCCAAGGGGAGAUUAUAAGGAUGCAGUUCGAGAUAACAAGGCUGGAACUCAAAGGAGAAGUUGGGACUGAAGAUGGAACUUUGGGUGUUGGUGUCUAAAGCCACGAGGCUGAAUGAGAUCACCUAGGGAGGGGAUAUAGUCAGAAAAGAGAAGUUGUCCAAGGAAUGGCCCUCUAAGAUCAGCCCUGCCCUAAAUUCUUCCUUCAGCUGCAGGAAGGGGAUAUCUUCAUGCUGGAGGGAUUGGCCCCAUUUUGCCUGGUGCCAGAUGGUUGAUUCAUUACUGGUGUGAGUGUCCUGGCAAUUGGAACUCAGUGGAAACUGACUUUCUCCAGUUAACAUUCCUCCUCUCCCUGUCCCCAAUUCAGCUGAGGUUUGAACUAGCAACCUAGAGGCAAGCUUCUCCAUCCUAGUACAGGUUUGCCAGCAGCCGUGGCCUUCUCCUCUGGUCUUCUCUUUGCCUGUCUACAGGUCCAACCUCGGGUAUUCUGCUCUUCCAGAAGAGUGCUUAGUCCCUGGACAAGCAAGACAUCCUUUCACACUGAGCUAGAGACUGAGGGCUGGAGGAAGGGGCCCUCCAAGGCAGCAAGGGCUUGGAUAGGAACCGUCCUACACAUUUUACCCAUUAGCUGAAAAUCCUUUCAUAAUGUUUUCCAUUCCCCUUAUAGUGAGUCAUCAUCUGAGCAGGGCCUCUGCUAGAAAGUUCAUAUAAACCUUACAGGAUUUGAUGGUUUGAGCAAAGAGAAGAAAUGACUGACGGGAGCCUUGGAAGGCUGCAGUCAGAACCUCUUGCCAUGGUUGCCCUUUAUUUCUAAGAGUAGAUGACAAGGGAAAUGAAGAAGAGUUUGGGGAAGAAGCUCUCGAGUGCCUCCCAAUUUUCUCCCUUCCUCAGCUUUACUAUCACCUCUCAGGCUCCCUAGGACUUGUUUCAGGGAGCCCCAGCCAAGAAAAGCACCCACAGGAGGGAAGUUGGAGAAACAAUAGCAGCAGAGAUGGGGUUUAUUGACAUAAACUUUCCAGCGCCCCAUCUCACUUUCCAGAGACACCAUCAUUCUCCCACCUUAGCUGCCAUUCUUUUAAAUGAUUCUAACAUAUACUUGGUUUCUCUACCCACUCCUUCCCACUCUCAGUUGAUUCUUUUUUGUCUUCUCUCUUCUUCUUUGUGGUAAAGGAACAGUGGACAGACAUAGCUAAUCCAUGGCCUUUGAAGUCCCAGUUGGCGGGUGCCUGUCUCGAGGCCUCCCAUUCUCCCUUUCUCUUGAAUUCACUAGAGACUCUACUCUUUGCCUUUCUACCCAAGAGGGAAAGUGGUCCAAAUAACCCACCACCUGGAAACAGAGGCGAUGCUUAUGCAGCUGAUGCCCACCUGUUUCAGGAUGGGGUUCCCUGAGUCAACUCUGGGAACUCAGCACACAGCAAUACAAACUCAGGAGUUUGAGAUCCCUUUUCCUCUUAUCUUCAACCAGGGUCCUAGAAAACAAAAGUAAUUACAAUUCACUGAUUCUUAUAACUGGUAAGAAAGCAACUGUUUCUGCUGUGUCCAAACUCCACCUGCAAACACUUAUGGAAGUCAGUGGAAAGGGUGACUUUGUUAGCCCUUCUCCUCACAGUGUUCCCUACUGGGUAUCAGGGCACUCCUCAGCAGAACCCACAGAGGCAAGAAUUAAAAACAGUCUUUUGUGUUAAGCAAAAUUUGCUAAAGACAUUGAUAGUAUUAGGUACCUUUUCUACUCCAAAGAGCUACCUCAUAGUUUAUGCAUCCAAGAUUUUCAUUCACUCAUUUAUUCAUCUGACAUCUUUUUAUUGAAUGACUACCCAGGUUUGGUGCUGUGUGCACCAAAGAAUGGAGAGAAUGGAGAAUGGAAAGAAUGGAGAAAAAGCAGAUGUGUCUUACAGUAAAAGUAUGGGAGAGGCAAAGAAAUAAACAAAUACAUCCAAAUUAUUAUACACUUUAGUAAGUGUUAUGAGAUAUCUGUGGGCUCCCAGCCCAGAGGGUGAGGUUUGAUUAACUACAGGCUAAACAUAGAAAUAAAGGCGAGUUGCAUGUUUUAAUGACUUGCUUUUACAUGUAACCUAGGAAAUAUUCUUUUUUAGAGAAUCACAGCUGGAUUUUAAAAUGGAAUUGCUUGCCCCUGAAUUAGAACAUCAGCAUUACCCAUGAUCUCAUGAAUGCAGAUCAUGUCUCCUGAAAUGCCUUUCAAAUGUUGUGGUUUUGCCUCUAUGAGGGAAACAAAUUGAAGAAAUGGCACAGUUGCCCCAACAACAGCCUCUACUGAUUGUCUACCCAAUAGCCUCUACUGGUUGUCUCACCGGCCCCCUUUUCCAUGAUCUCAUGUACUGUCUGGGGAGGUCUUUGUGACAUUGUCCCUGAGAGAAUGGUCUAAAACUCACUAUCGGGAACUUGUUUGGAAAAAAAGUGGAUAAUGUCAUCUUCUUAAGAGAGAUGAUGUUAUGAAGGUCCAAAGAAAGCAAUGUAGGCUGACACUUUCUCUUUUUAUAUUACUUCCCUGGACUUAGAGAAUGAAAUCUAUACUGUAGUCCUUUGCUUGCCCUUAUUUUAGCUCUGUUUUAGUUCUAGCGAAAGCUCUGUAUUUGACCCAGCUUGACACAAAUCUCAUCAGCACAGGCCUUGCUGACCUCCUCCAGCUCUUUGCCUUUCUUCUAUAUCACCGCUGACAAAUGUAGACUCUUAUGGAUGGUGCUUUCCCUAACAACACACAUCAAGCUGCGCAUAAGAGGGAUGCCACAGUGACUGGAUCAUGUUUUUAAGGUUAGUUCCUGAACUGGUUUUCAGUCUUUCCAUGUCCACUGUCAUAUUGAUGGUGUCCUUACCACCUUUGCUGCCUACUUGUUCCAUCCUGGGAAAACUUUCUAUCAACUGAUUUGGUCUUCAACCUGCCUGCUCUGCAUCUCAGACUUGGACUAACACUCUCCCUUGUGAGCUAGUGCGAUGGUCUUUUGUGCUGAGCUGCUCAGCAUCUUUUGUUAGGGAGAAGCCAUUCCUCUCUUUUCUUCUCUUCUCUUCUCUUCUCUUCUCUUCUUCUCUUCUCUUCUCUUCUCUUCUCUUCUCUUUUCUUCUUUUCUCUUCUCUUCCUUUCCCUUCUCUUCCUUCCCUUUCCUACCCCUCCCCUCCCCUCCCUUCUCCUCUCCUCUCCUCUCCUCCCCUCUCCUCUUCUCUCUCUCUCUCUCUUCCUAUAGGUGCUAAGUCACAGGGUCUAGUAUACAUCCAGCUGCAAGAGUGGGAGUGAGAAAAAUCACACAAUUCUAAUAUGAAUCUAUCUGACUCUAAAGUUUAAACAGUACAUAAUCCUAUUGGUGAAAACUGGGUGGAAAUAGUUAGAGCAUGUUUGGGCUGAUAAGCUCUGUGGUUGAAAGAAAUGAGGAAAGAACCAACUGACCAUUGUAGGUAACAUAGCAGCCAGUGGCCAGUCCACCUAGAAAGGCCAAUGAGGAUGGUUCUCCACUGUAGAGUAACUUUGUCUUGAUACAAUCAUCUCUUUUGUAUUUCCUGAUCAACUAUAAUUGCAUCUAGAACCUGCUGCUGAAUUCAGCACUUCUGGGGAUGAGCCCAUGUCUGAACAAUAGCUGUCAUCUAAAGAAUCUUUUGGGGGAGUGAUUAUGCCACUAGUUGCCUAGUAGAAUAUACUGUCGUCAAAGGAACUCUUUUUCUGGACAGGCAUGUAACACUUUAAGAAAACCCAAUGUGAAAGGUUUAGUAAACUGGAAAGUGACUAUCUGCUUUCAAACAGGAGUACCAUGUAGCUUUUUUAAACCUAGAACAAAAAUAGUACCUGCUGGAACACAUUAUUUUCCACACAAAAAAUUGAGAAUAACUCCAAAAUAAACAAACAAAACCAAAUGAGUGACUCCAUUUAUGGGAAGGUGGAUAGAUAUAUUUUUCCCUAUUCUUCCCUGGAGGAACAAGUGAAAAAUACAACAAAAAAAACCCUGGACAACAUAUAUCAAAAAAGUUUAAGAAGACUCUAAAAUGCGAGAGAAGGCAGAUUGUCUAGGAACACUGGGACCCAUGGAACAAAACAUUGGUGAGUUUUCAUCUCAUAUAUUCCAGACUUGGAGCCGAAAAGCUGGCAACCUGGAAAUGCCAAUAGGCACAGACAAAAAAAGCCACAACAAAAGUCUGCUCCCUCUAGCCAAAAUUGUAGGAAAUGAAUAGCCUAGGAAGAUAGAGAACUUUUAGAUAAUAACAGCUCUACUUUAGCCAAACACCACAAAACAAAAAACAACUAUGACCCCACUCCCACUCAUAACAGCAAAGAUCUAGUGGAAAGCUUAGACUCCACCCUCACUAGGCUGUAGCAAAGCCCCCUAACGUUACACCCCUACCUCCCCAACUCCCUGUCAGGGUGGUGUUAGCAAAAGCUAAGUAGGGAACCAGGACUUUCAUCCUGCCAGGUGGUAAUCAGAACCCUAUUACAGUAUCAGUGGGUACCAGUGGGAAGCCCAGCCCUGCCUCCCCAUUCAGCAGUAAUGAGGUGCCACCACUGGUCCCCCAAACAGGAGUGGUGUUAGAGGAGGCCUAGUGAAGAAUAAGCCCUUCCACUGUGGCUGUGUGGGGCCACUCUUCCUAUGGUACCACUGGAGGCUACCUAGGAAACAGCAAUGAGACACUCCUACUCCUCCUAACCAGGGAGAUACAGGUGAACACUAGUAGGGAGUUGGAACACUCACUUUUGACCAGCAAUAAUGAGGAGUCCCCCUUGGAUAUCAGCAGAGGUCAAGUGGGAAACAUGGCAGUAAUGAGACAGUGACCCUACCCUCUUCUUCUGCCAGAAAGAUGUCAGCAGAAGCCAGCCAAGACAGAAGGCUUCAACAAGAUCCAGAGUCUUAGAACAUUCAAACAUCUAGGUUUCAAUACAAAUCACUCAUCACACCAGGAACCAGGAAGAUCUCAAACUGAAUGAAAAAAGAAAAUCAAUAAAUACCCUCACCCAGAUGACAGAAAUAUAAGAAUUAUCUGGCAAAGAUUGUAUGGCAGUCCUCAUAAAAAUGCUUCAAGGAGCAGUUAGGAACAUAUUUGAAACAAAUGAGAGUAUGUAAUGUCUCAGCAAAGCAAUAGAAAGUCUCAGCAAAUAAAUAAAAAUAUAAAGAAUCAAAUGGAAAUUUUAGAACUGGAAAAAUAUGAUACCUGAAAUAAUAACUCAGUGGAUGAGCUUGACAGAAGAAUGGGGAGGACAAAAGAAUCAGUGAACUGGAGGAUGAAGCAAGAGAAAUUACCCAACCUGAACAACAGAGAGAUAUAUCCUGGGAAAUGCAAAACCAAUAGUGAACAGAGCCUCGGGGUUGGUGAGACUGUAACAAAAGAUUUAGCAUUAUGUCAUCAGAGUCCCAGAAGAAAAGAAAGAGAACAGAGAUAAAAAAAAAAAAAAAAGUACUAGAGGCUGGAAACUUCCCAAAUUUGGCACAAGAUACAAAUCCACAGAUUCAAGAAGCUGAGAAAACUCCCAAGCAAGAUAACUCAGAUAAAUC